GAACAAGAGGUCGUUCAAGUAUGCGUGGGUGCUUGACAAGCUCAAGGCUGAGCGUGAGAGAGGUAUCACAAUUGAUAUCGCCCUGUGGAAGUUUGAGACCACCAAGUACUACUGCACUGUCAUUGAUGCCCCUGGACACCGUGACUUCAUCAAGAAUAUGAUUACGGGUACUUCCCAGGCUGACUGUGCUGUUCUUAUCAUUGACUCCACCACUGGUGGUUUUGAGGCUGGUAUCUCCAAGGAUGGCCAGACCCGUGAGCAUGCUCUCCUUGCUUUCACACUUGGAGUGAAGCAGAUGAUUUGCUGCUGCAACAAGGUAUGAUUCCAGGAAUUCCUGUCUAGUCUGCUUCAUGAUCUGAGAUGCCUGUAAAUUUGUGCUUCAAUAGUCUAGGCUUCCCUCAAUUACACUGCCUUCAAGUUGAAUACCACAUUUGUUUUCUGAUUCAAUAACUAAUGUUGGUUGUAUUCUAAAUUUGGCAAAAUGAAACACUGUUUACUUACAUUGAAAAAGUCUGCUUCCUACAUGUUUAUUUAUGAUAGCAAUUUUUCUGCAUCACUAUGCAUUCUGCAUUACUUUGCAUAAUCCAGUAUAAUUUUUUCAGGAUUUUUUUCCCAUUUGGCGAUUUAACUUUGUCAUCCACCUUAUUUUAGAAAUUUUCUAAGUUGUUGGAAUGUUUGCAAUGCAUAUGUAAUUAAAGGAUAUGGGUUUCCUUAAAUGUCUGUAUAUGAUUGCAGUAGUUAGUUUACUUUGCUUUAUAUUUUUACGUCCUGCACGAGUUAGCAUGAUCAAAUUUGUGAAGUAUGUUUAUCUGCCUGGUGGUUAUUUCUAUUGACCCCCAACAAAUCUCAUUCCAAGUGUAGUUGACCAGUUAGUUUUGAUUAUUAUGUUCUUUGAGUUUUACUGUUCGCUUGCUGUUUAGUUAACCUAUCUCAAUCAACUAAUGAUAUUGUUUUGGUUUUGCUGUGUUACAGAUGGAUGCCACGACACCCAAGUACUCGAAGGCCCGUUAUGAUGAGAUUGUUAAGGAAGUCUCUUCUUACCUGAAGAAGGUUGGAUACAACCCAGACAAGAUCCACUUUGUUCCCAUCUCUGGUUUUGAAGGUGACAACAUGAUUGAGAGGUCCACCAACCUUGACUGGUACAAGGGCCCAACCCUGCUUGAGGCUCUGGACUUAAUCAAUGAGCCAAAGAGACCUUCAGACAAGCCCCUGCGUCUCCCCCUUCAGGAUGUGUACAAAAUUGGUGGUAUUGGAACUGUUCCUGUGGGACGUGUUGAGACUGGUAUCAUCAAGCCUGGUAUGGUUGUCACCUUCGGUCCUAGUGGCCUUACAACUGAGGUUAAGUCUGUUGAGAUGCACCACGAGGCUCUCCAGGAGGCCCUUCCUGGUGACAAUGUUGGCUUCAAUGUUAAGAAUGUUGCUGUGAAGGAUCUGAAGCGUGGGUAUGUGGCCUCCAACUCCAAGGAUGACCCUGCCAAGGAGGCGGCUAGCUUCACCUCACAGGUCAUCAUCAUGAACCACCCUGGGCAGAUUGGCAACGGCUACGCCCCAGUGCUGGACUGUCACACCUCACACAUAGCUGUCAAGUUUGCUGAGCUUGUUACCAAGAUUGAUAGGCGAUCUGGCAAGGAGCUUGAGAAGGAGCCCAAAUUCCUCAAGAACGGUGAUGCUGGUAUGGUGAAGAUGGUUCCCACUAAGCCCAUGGUGGUGGAGACCUUCUCUGAGUAUCCUCCUCUUGGUCGCUUUGCUGUCCGGGACAUGAGGCAAACGGUGGCUGUUGGAGUCAUCAAGAGCGUGGAGAAGAAGGACCCAACUGGAGCCAAGGUGACCAAGGCUGCCGCUAAGAAGAAAUGAGGUGUCUGCUAGCUGGUUCUGUGUUUUCUCGAGGGAUACCUAGUUGAAACUUAAUAUAUCGUCAUUGCUGUUAUCGCGUGAGCAACUAAACUGUGCUGGCAAUGUUUGUCUGGUCGAUUGAGUAUUGUUAUUUUCGUUAAAACCAGGGUACUAUUAAGACUCAAUUUCUGUUAUUUUUGUAUCGAACAUCGGGUGUUGGCCAUAUGUGGUUAUGAGUUUUGUUACUACCCUUGUUGAAGUGUUUGCCUGUUUACUUAUUUUGCUCGUCCUUGCCAGUCUGCUGGGUUCAAAUUUCUCCUGCUCUUCGUUGGCGCAUAUCGAGUAUUUUGAAAUACUUGCGUUCAAUUAAGUACUCAAUAUAUCUCAAAUUGUAAGUUGUUUGACUUUUUAAAUAUUAAGUUUGACCACUCGUCUUAUUCAAAGUUUUGUAUAAAAUAUCAUUUUUUUUUGUAUUGGUUUAUUAAUAAAAGUUCUUCAAGAAUAAUUUAAAUUUGACUAUAUUUGUAUAAAUUUUUUGAAUAAGACGAGUGGUUAAAUUUGGUUUAAAAAAAGUUAAACGAUUUAUAAUUUACAAUUUAGGAUGGAGGUAGUAUUUUGAAAUAUUCUUCCGAAACGUCUUCGAUGGCUUCAAAACCUAUACUGCUUUCCUUAGUUUUAACUUUUGCAUUCCAUUAUAGCUUCCCUUUAGUUUCACCAUCUUUAGCCUUGAUUAGCUGGGUGUGUGAAAAAAAAUUUGGUACCGUAGCAUUUAUGUUUAUAUUUGACAUUUAUUAUCAACCAUGACUAAUCUCAUGAUUUAUAGGUAAGAUUUACGUAUUUAGUGCUCUACGUAUAUGUUAUAUGCUGAGAUUCGAUGUGACGGUAAAUAUUGAAUAGUUUUUGGAUUUUGGAGAAAACUAAACAAGGUCUUUGUCGCUUGCACUUCUAAAAAAACAAUUGUCAGUAACUAUAUAUUAAAAAAUAUUAAUAGUUAUAAUAAUUAAUUAGUAUCAUUAGAAAGAUUUUUGAAUUUAGUGUAACAAAUUUAUUUGGAAAUAUAAAUGUGCACGUAUUUUUUAUAAAUCAAGUUAAAUUUGUGGCACGUACACCAAUGUCAACAAUUUAAAAAGGAUAGAGAAAGUAGAUGAUAGAGGGAGUAGAUGUUAUGAGAAAACAGACAAAUAGAAAAACAAGAAAUGACGAUAGAAUCAAAUAAAUUAUAGAGAAUAAUAAUAAAGCUUUAGUACUGAUAAAUAAAUCAUAGUAAUAAUAAUAGUUUUUGUUUCCUCUAUAAAAAUACUCCAUUCCUAAGUCGGUUGUUCCAAACAAGCACGAUCCUUUGCUGAACGGCCUGCAGCCUGCUCCUACACUCGUCUGCCGCCAGCAUGAUGCUGUGCGCGUCGCGGGCGUCCUCGUUUACCACGUCCGGCGCGGCGCUCGCGCCUCCUUGGCUCCUUGCUGUGCUUCACCGCCACUCGCCAUGCUCCCCGCGCUUUGCCGAUGCCACCAGUGGCGGAGGGAAGGGGGGCCUGAGGGGGGCCUGGCACCCCCAAACUUCCCAUAACUCCCUUAAUACAUCUUAUAGAUUAGAUGUUUAAUUAUCUAAUUACUUAGUUAAUGAUAUUAUCUGUACUAAGAUUUUUAUUCUUAUUUUAUAUUAAUCUCUAAUAGUUUCUUAUACAAAUAGAUAUUUCUAAUAUUUUCUUCAUAUCUUUUAUUUUUAUUAUUGUCUAUCAAACAUCAGUUUGUCCCCUACCACACACUCUAAUUAGCUAGUUAAUUGAAAAUCAGCGUUUUUCUUGUUUAAUCCUUCUGAAUUGAUCUCCAACAAUGGAAUCUAUAUUAUUUAGCAUUAGUCUUCCUAUUAUCUUUCUUAUCUCCUAUGUUUCUAUCAUUAUUCGUCUAAACUCUAAACAAUCAUUUAGCCCGUUGUACUCAACUUUUAAAUACUAACAGUGGUAUGGUGUUUCUGUUUAACCUUCUAUUUAAAUGACCAUUUUUACCUGUUUAAGUGAUCAUUUUGUCUAAGACUAAACGAUAUGUAACUAAUUGUUUGUCAUUUGAUGUUAGGAUCUAGUACUAAUUAAUUUUGCCCCCGUUUAACUACUUGUUUUUAUUGUGAUUUUUUUUCUGGGCAAAGAAAUAGAAUGAUCAAGUGAAGGUUAGAGGCUUGAGACUCGUUAAAUUUUUCUUUUAUUUUUUUUAUUUUUUCUGCUUUUUUGCAUCGCAACACAAAUGUUUAUUUUGGUGCUAUGUAUACAUUUGUCAUAUAAUAUUUUGAUACACAUGAUUAUUUUUGGUUUGCACGGCCCCCUAUAUUUAAAUCCUAGCUCCGCCCCUGGAUGCCACGCGCUACGGACUACGGUGUACGCAUGAUGUGGAUGGCGUGCCGCCUGCGUGAUGGCGCACGUCGUGACCUGCUCACUAGCGUCCGUGUCUUUUCGCAAAACGUGAGAAAAAAAAGUAACGCUUGACUCGCAUUAGCGCCCAAACUAUCCAGACGCGAACGCCCGGUAUGGGGUGAGAACCAAGGUGCAGCGCCUGGUAGACUGACUGGACGGAGAAGCCCCGUUUUUAAAUUUUAUAAAUAAUCUAUAUCUAUUACUUUAUAUAUGUGUCUAAAUAUUUUAUGUGAUAAGUGUUAAAAAAACAAUUCGAACCCUAAGUUCUUCGGUGGGAGAGAAAGUGAAUUUAAAUCUUCACGUACGGUGGACCAAUGGGAGGAAGGAAAGUAGAGGAUCGUCUUGCAUGCUAGGAAAAAUCAGGCUUUUUUUUUUCACAAAAAUUUUCAAGAUUCUCUAUUAAAUCGAAUCUUGCGGCAUAUGCAUCAUACAUUAAUAUACAUGAAAAAAAUUAAUUAUACAGUUUAUCUGUAAAUCGUGAAACGAAUCUUUUAAGCCUAGUUACUUCAUUAUUGGAUAAUAAUUGUCAAAUAAAAACGAAAAUGUUACUAUGUCAAAAUCCAUUUUUUUUUUUGCAAACUGAACAAGGCCUCAAUAAAGAAUUUACUCAGCGUGGGAAGAAUUAACCAUUUUUUAGUGGCGGUGCCAAAAAUUAUACAGAGGAGUAUAGGCUGAGCGUAGCUCAUCUGUUAAGUUUUUUCAAGGUGCAUUGGUUGCACUUACACCUUUGACUAUACUAGUUAAGUAUACGUUUAAUAAAAUAUAAUGAAAUGUACGUACACAUUUAGUAGAACCUAAGUGUUUUUAUGUGAUUUUAUUGUCUAGUGACAUAAAAAAUGUACUCCCACCAUACUAGAAAUAAAGUUAUUUUGGACAGUGGCACAGUCUCUAAAGCAUAACUUUGACUUUUUGUUCUUAUAAAUUUUUUUAUCAAAAAAUAAUAUAUGUAUAUUUUUACGAAAGUAUUUUUGAAGACAAAUCUAUUCAUAUGGUUUUCACAUUUCCAAACUCAACAACUUAAAAGUUAUUCAUGAUUUAUAUUCCCAAUGUUUAACCAAACCUUGUCCAAAAUAACUUUAUUUUUAGUAUGGAGGGAGUAUAUAACAAGAAUUUUUUAUUAUAUCUUGCAAAUAUAAACAUAUCAUAUACGCUUAUAAAGCAAAACCCUACUAGCAAUUUUUUUGACAUCUAAGGUACUACAAGAAAUGUGUUAUCUUAUGACGAUUAUGGCAUGACAUGUGAUUAAAAUGUCACUAAAUCAAUCAGUUUAUGACGUUCUUUUGAAAGCCAUCUCAACUUAGUGACAUAUAUGAUUUCAUGUCACAAAAAAUAUCUUCAAUGUAGUUAAACUCCAUAUCGUGACAAUGUUUGCCAUGUUAGGGUUGUUUAAUUCCCAAAAAAUUUGCAAAAUUUUUCAAGAUUCUUCGUCACAACAAAUCUUGCGGCACAUGCAUGGAGCAUUAAAUAUAGAUAAAAAAUAACUAAUUGCAUAGUUUAUCUGUAAUUUGCAAGACAAAUCUUUUGAGCCUAGCUAGUUAAUCCAUGAUUGGACUAUAAUUUUCAAAUACAAAUGAAAGUAUUGUAGUAGCUAUUUUGCAAAAUUUUCGGUAACUAAACAGGACCUUAAUUAACCCCUACAGUCUUGGGUUAUUUUCCGUUUCUCCCAUAUAAGACCUUGUUUAGUUCAAAAAGUGAAAAGUUUUCGGUACUGUAGCACUUUCGUUUGUUUAUGACAAAUAUUAUCCAAUCAUGAACUGACUAAGAUCAAAAGAUUUGUCUCGUGAUUUCCAGCUAAACUGUGUAAUUAGUUUUUGUUUUCGUCUAUAUUUAAUAUUUCAUGCGUGUGCCAUAAGAUUCGAUGUGACGGAGAAUCUUAAAAACUUUUUGGUUUUCAGGGUGAACUAAACAAGGCCUAAGAAGCUAAACAAGUCAGCAAAAUUGUUUUUGACAAUCUAAUUUUCAUCUUCUGACUCCGUGCAUCAUCAUGCCAAAGGCUGGUAGCCAAAAAUAUCUGGGCUUUUAUCCCAUGCCUCCCUCCCAGUAAAGAACAUCGAUCCCUCCUCUUCUCAUCGACAUCCUAUCCACCGCCUCCCCUCCCCGCCUGACCUUGACACGGACGGAGCCCCUGCGGCUGGCACGUCGGCAGCCCCCUCCGCCUCUGCUUCCGCUUCCAUCUCCGCCUCCUUCCUCCCUCUCUCUGCCUCUCCCCACGCGACGGCGCAACCAACUGGAUAGGACGAGGCACCAACCGGCGAACGGCUUCGGUGAGACGGUGGCGGUGCGCGGGCGCUGGCGAGCCCCGUAGGUGGCCGCCGCUGUGGAUGCCACCCAACGCGGCUUCCUCCUUAUAGUCCAUGUGUGCUCAUGGGCUCGACGAAACAACAAAACCCUAGGUGCCUGUGUUCGGCGGCGGCCAGAUCUGGAGGUAUCUCAUCCUCUUAUUCUCUUUCUACUCCAUCCCAUUGCUCGUCACCCAAAUCCUCUCCUCCUCAAUCCUCCCCUUUGUGCAAUGCAGAGCACCUGAGUGUGAGGCACUGACCAACAGGGAGGCAGUAGUAAAUGAGCAAGCUACAAUAGCAAGCACGAAGUACUUGAAAUUUUAAAUGUAGUUCUCCAUUCUCUGGAAUCACUAAUUAGCCUUUGUUUACUUGCAUAUUGCAGAUUUUACAAUUUGAUUAAUUAUUCAAGCCCCUGUUAACAUUGCUUUGUUUUUUUAGAGGACCUAAGAUAUUUUAGGUCUGCCCUAAUUUUUACUGGGUCCUAAGUAAAUUAGAAAUUUAUGUACACUGAAAAAUAUAGCUACUUUAAUGGUAGAAUGAAUAUUAAUAAGAAAACUAGGCAGGAUAUAGUCAGAUCGGAUCAUAAAUGUCCUAUUUUUGUGACUGGGUGUUAAAACAAGAGACAUGGUUAGUUCUGUCCACUAGAUAGAUAUUCUGAGCGGAGAUUUGUCUUUUCAAAGCAUCACUAUUGAUUUGAGAUUUAUUUUGAAGCAAAUGACUGAUUUAAGAUUGUUGUACUGUUAUUACUUGCUAACCUGAAUUUCUAUGCUCAACUCACGAUAUUUGUUAGGUGGGCAAUAUGUCAAGUUUUGAAAUACUUGAUAGAAAUAUCAGAACCUAAAAAACCUAUGUCUUCAGUUUGACAACAUCACUAUUCUCGGCUCAAUUGGCUACACUAGUUUCAUCUGUGAUCAAUUGGCUACACUAGUUUUAGUUGGCAGAUGCAGCAACCUGAAACCGAGAUAUACGUUAAAUAGGUGUUUGCUAUUGUCACAUUUUUUUGCCGCUGUCUUACCAUGUUAUCUGAUUUGUAAACAUGAAACUGCUAUUGGCAGAUGCAGCAACUUUUUGUUGAUCUAGUUGCUGAUUUGGUGCUUCGUGUUAACCAGCAAGGAGUCGGGCAGAUAGAAUCUUCUUUUCUUCUGUUGCUUGUCUUGGUUUUCUAACACCUUUGACAGGUAGACAGGUAUAGUACCUCUUGAUCCAAGUAUUUACUACUUGUAUUAGUUUUUUAUUGUUUUAUGUUUCGUUUUCAAUUGUCCAGUUCAGUUUUAGACUUAGAAAGUAGACAUGUAGUGUAGCUCUUGAUCCAAUUAUUUCCUGCUUGUCUUUUAAAUGACUAAUAGCUAGUUAAUUCAUCUUCCCUUACAACAGUUUAAGAAUCCUACUUGCUUCUUGUCGAUCGUAAGUGUCAUCUACCACUUCUCCCUUCCGAAGGCGUCGGCUGCUAGAUCCUAUAGCCAAGCGAGAUUCAAGGAUGAACCAUCGUAUCCAUGGUGGGCAUAUAGAACCAUGACCUGUCAGCUGCUCCUGCUGUUUGGAGGUGCAUGAGUCAUUCGUGCGUUGCUCCAUUGUGGGCUCUUCUUCUAGGAUUGGACCAUGGAGAAGAUAUGUUGAAAGACACAUAUAUAGGUAUAAGAUUUAUCUUAUGACUAUUCAUGCAUUUAUUAGAUUACAGACAGGAUAGAAGCCGUUAUAUUACAAACAUGAUAGGAGCCGUUAUUAGAUUACAAACAAGAUUUAUCUUAUGACUAUUCAUGCUUCUAUUAUGUAGUCCUAAGCUGAUCUAUCUAAUUAAACUAGAACCAUUAUAUCUUGUUCCAUAUUCAAUAUUAUUUUAACAGCUUAUUGCUUCCUUAUUUUAGGCAUAUAGUGCACAUAGUUAAUUACAAGUGACUGUAACACAGGUAUCUAUUGGCUAAGUCAAUAUUUCUAACGUGGGUGCACAUGGAGAUUUGAGGCUUAAUGGAGAAUUGGUCCACUCAAAGUUGAUAGGUUGGAUUUCAGUGAUCUUGUUUCUUCCAUGUCCACGUAACGUUGAAUCAGGAUGGUGAUUUUUGAAACAUCUGCGUAUAUAUAAAUGUGAAAUGAAGGUUACUUUGUAAACUUAAAGUUUCCUUUGUUGACAUGUUGUAUAGUAUAAAGAAUUAUCCACCAUACUUGAGAAUAUACAUGCUCAUGACUUUGCUAGAGAUUAUAAGUAUUAUCAUAUUUUCUUUGUAUGCUAGCUUUAUUGAAUUGAUAAACAAAGAACUAUAAUAAAUUUGCAACAGUAGUGUUUUAGGUGGCAGCUUACUUACACAUGACUAGUUGUGAACUUAAUUGAUAUAGUCUAGAGUGUUGUUCAAACAAUGCAUGAUGUUGGUGUUGUGAGAUCAUAUAUGCAUAUAUUAUUGUAAUUGUUGUUUGAUUUCUUCUGACUUAUAAAUGUAAAGUUCCCUUUGACUUCUCCAAUUGUUUCAACAAGUGAUAUUUGUUUCUGAUCGAUCUGUUUUCUACAGAGCAUGGAGAAAUUCAGAAACCUAAGGUACUCACUCAUGCUCCUGACACCAAGAAUACCUAGCUGUCAGCACCUGUUGAACUAUUAGUUUGGUGAUUUGUUUCAACAAGUGAUAUUUGUUUCUGAUCGAUCUGUUUUGUUUUCUACAGAGCAUGGAGAAAUUCAGAAACCUAAGGUACUCACUCAUGCUCAUGACUCCAAGAAUACCUAGCUGUCAGCACUGAGGUAACUUUGUGACUAAGGUCACUCGUUGAACUAUAGUUUGGUGUUUGUGAUGAAUGUAGUAAAUAAGUUGUUGAAUGACUUGUGAACCUGUUGAUUUGGUUAUGAAUGGAAUAUAUUGUUGGACCUACCUAUGUUAAUGUGGAUUAUAUGAUGUGAGUGGGGUACGUGAUGGUAUGGAUCAAGCCAAAUCAAGAAUUAUCCUACGUGACAAGGCCUACCAAUCUAUGACAUAAAAGUAGAAGUCAUAAACGCUUGUGACAUCUACAACUAAUGUCAUAAUAUUAUGACAUGAACACUUAAACGUCACAAGUUGUCAUUAAAGACACACAUCUUUUGACAUUUCAGUUUUCGUCAACUUAGUGUCAUAAAUGGUGAUCUGUGACUUAUUUUACAUGAAUUAUGACAUAUAACAAAUGUCAAAAGAUGACACAUUAUAAUAUCCACGUCGGUAGGACACAUCAUCCACUAACAUACAUUUAGUUAUCCGCAUCAGCAUGUCAUGUUAUCCACUAACAUUAGUUUAUAAUAGUUAGUCUCUUACUUAAAAAAAUAUAUGAAUAGUUAAAUUGCAGUCCAAAUCAUUAGUUUCGCAGCAACGCGUCGGAUGUUCUUCUAGUAUUAUUAAAUCUCUAAUUCAGAUUCAGGAUCAAGAUCCUCUUCUAUUUCGAGCGGAGUAAUAAUUAAACAAAUAGAGAAAAUCCUAGGGAAAGGAUAAUGGUCUCAAUUCUCAUAUGUCUUAAACUUAUUCCUUCCUCCAUCACGAGAUGUUAGUCUUUUGAUUAAAAAUAUAAAAUAGAUCUUAAAAUUACAAAAUAGAUUUCAACCAUUAUCUUUUAAAAUAUGUUGUUGUUUGUAAAAAAAAUUAAUAUUAAAUUUAGAAAUAUUUUUAAUAUAAAUUUAUGAUACAAGUUUUAUCUCUAUAUAAAUUUGUAUGUAACUGGGAUAAUUAUUAGUUAGAAAUUAUUUAUAAUAUUUGAUUUUUAUCAAAAUAAGAUAUGUUAAUUAUUUCGAGACGAAGGAAUACGGUGACUAGGGCCGGUAAUUUUCAGUGGACAAACAUAGCGGUAAUUUUCAGUGGACAAGCACAUGAGCCUCGAGCCAUCGAUCCCAGCUCCAACGCUGCACUAGGAAGCACCGGCCAGAAAAGUGAACCGCCCUGCUUAACGCUCACAGUGUUGUUUGUGCCUGACCUAUCCUGCCACUCAUGACGACCUUGGGCCUAGCCCAUCCUACCAUCCAUGAUGAUACCGGUGAUAAGAAAAGUUCACAUUACUUCUCUCAACUUUCAUAAAAGUAUAUUUUUUUUCUUAAAACUUCAAAAUCAGGCAAAAUAUCUUCCUUAAAUUUUAAAACUGUUGAUCUUACCUCCCUGUCCUUGUUAUAAGCAGUUUCGAAGGCAGUUUGGUCUUUUUUUUUUCUUUUUUGCUAAAUCUUUAAAAAAUCAUAGUAAAACAUAGGAAAAUCAUGAAACAGAAAAAUCCAAUGUUAUUGAACUUAACAUGAGCAGAUAUACAUAGUAAACAUAUAUGAUAGGCUUUAGAAUAAAGUUUUUGCUCUAGUUUUAGAUCUAUGCUUUUUUAUAAUUGAAUGAAAUAAUUCAUAGUUGCAACUUCUAUGGUCCAAUGGCGAUGAAAAUUUUAUGGUGAACUAAUUAUUUUAUGCUUAAAUUGUAGUAAAGAAUUUAUAUUCAUUGGAUCAUGUAUAACUUAGUUAUAGAUUUUAUUUAGGUUAUUGCUUGUUAGAUAUAAAUAAAUCUAUAACUAAGUUAUACAUAAUUCAAUGAGUAAAAUUUUGUACUACUGUCCAAUCAUACAAUAAUUAACCCACCAUAAAAGUUUCAUCAUAAUUGGACUAUAGAAACUGCAGUUGUGAAUUAUUCCAAUUAAUUAUUAAAAACACAGAUCUAAAGACACAAAAACUUUGUAGUAAAACAUACCAUAUUAUAUAUUCACUGUGUAGAUACUCAUAUAGAGUCUAACAAAAUUGGAUUUUCUAUUUUAUGAUUUACCAUGAUUUUCAAAUAUUAAGAUGAAAUAAAUAAAAAGGGAAAGAUACAAAACUAUUUUUAAAACUACUUGCAACAGGACCAGAGAGGUAAGAUAAACGGUUUUAAAGUCGAGGAAGGUAUUUUGUCUGGUUUUAAAGUUCUAAGAGGAAAAACAGAUUUUCACGAAAGUUGAAGGAGGUAAUGUGGAUUUUUUUGCUAUUUUGACCCAACCGCACAUAGCUGUGCUUUUCAUGGUGUUGACAAGUGUAUCGGGCUGAUACUGCACAUGCAUAUAUCCUGUUAUUUGGACUCAUCAUUGGAUCAUUCAGUUAUACGUUAUGUCCAUCUUUUAAUCAGUCAAGACCCCAACUAGGUGAAAAUUUAAGACGUAGCUACUAGCAAUUUUCAAGGAUAAUCACAUCGUAAAAGAACAUAUAUAGUUGUCUAACAAUAAAUAGGUAAUUUGUUCAUCCAAGGCAGUUACUGUAGGUUAAACUUCAUACUCAGCCACUAUUUGGAAAGUAUUCUCAUCUUAUGCAUCCUUAUUGUUCUUGUGAGAUGUUGUAGACCCGACAUAUUCAUUUAGCGCUACUGCUGAUAUUUUCCUUUGAUAAAUUAAUACAAUAUGAACAAUAGUUAUUAACAGCAGGAACAAUGUUGCAGCGCUUAUAAACCUUGCCUACGAAAAGCGUCCACGACAAGAAGUACUAAAAUAUUUCUGUAUUGAUAAGGUGAAGACAUAUCUAACUAUCUGUUAUGAUUUGCCAAUCAAAUUAAGUCUAGUACUAUAGUAGAGUAGUUGCUCCUUCCCUCCAAGCUAGAAAAGCUAUUUUGGAAGUAAUUUGGUAAAGCAGAAAAUGCAAAAAUCAUAACAGGAAUCACAACCUUAGGGGAAUGAAAGAGGUACUAAAACACCAUCCAAUGAUAUCUCUAUUGUAGUAGUGCCAAAUCUUGCAUUUGCACAAAUAGGAAUGAUAAUUUAAUUACCAUAGUACAAGGAAUCAAAUAAUGUUGCAUUCCAUAUAUCUGAACCUUGAAACCCAUUUCUUCAUUUUCUUCGGGUUAUGUGUGGGCUAAUACAAAGUUGAAGUUUUCUAAAAGCAACCGUUCAACAUGGGAGUAGCUAGUUUCAAAAUAGUUGAAUCAGAUUUCAUGAGGAGGUGACCUCCUACGUUUUCAAGGAUCUGCCUACCUGAAACCAAACCCAAAAGCAUACCUGACAACUGUUGGUUCAAUAUAAGAAAUAGAAGAUUUUAGUCACAUUUAGACACACUUAAAUUAUUUUUUAUCUAUCAACAUUGAAUAAUUUCUAUGUAAAGGAAGAGUUGAUGGUCUUAAAGGUGGCUUGAUGGACUCUGACACCAUUUACAGACCACUAAGUUUUGAUACAAAAUGAAAGUCGCACACAUCAAGUAUAAAUUCAAACUUCUUAAAUCUCGGAUCUCCCGUGUCUCCAAAAUCUCUAUGCAAUUGAAUUUUCUCACGGUGCCUCGUCCCUUGAUGUUUUUCUCCAUCUUCCUCUAUGCUCUAUCGCAUAGUCCUACUCGCUCGCGGUACCCGUGCUAGUAUACUAUAAAUUUAAAUUUUUCUGAGCGACUAAAAUACUUUUUUGAAUUUAAUUUUCAUGUUUCGUUUGAGUACGUACGUGGUUGGCCACGAGGCAGGGGUCGGGGCUUGUGGCGUGGUUGGCCACACGGAGUUUUAUUUUUCCUUUUUUUUAUUUUAAGAAAAUGUAUAGCUCACGUAGUACUACGGUAGUAGUAUGUGUAGGUCGGACGCACUUUUUAAUUCAUUUGUGGCCCAUGAAGUGAUUUUUGGGCCCAAUAGCCCAUUCAUCCGUGUCCUAACCCUAGUCUGCCAUAUAAAAACCUAACUCCAUCCGGUUCUCAAACCCUAAGACGCAGUCGGCCGCCGCACACCAGGAGAAGCCGACGCGCCGCCACCGUAUCCGCGGAUCAGCGGCGAGCCGUCACCACGCCACACUGCUUGCCGCCCGACGAGGUAUUCUCCCGCACGCGCGCGCUUCUCUUCCUUCUCUUUUCGUUGUGCUUUGAGCUUGUUCGUUUGAUGCGCUUCGAGCUUGUUCGUUUGAUGCCCAGAUCUACUAGGUUUGUCGUCUAUGUGUGAUGAGCUGAGCCGAUUCAUGCACUGGAUUUCUUAUCAAGUGUUGUUUCCGUCUCCGCUACCUUUAUUUAGUGUCUAUGUAUGAACUUGGGUGCAGUUUGCAAUUGAUUUGUCGAGCCAUAAAUUAUAAACGUUUCGUUGUUCUAGACUGAUCCAGAUUCCGAUCUAUGAUAUUACAUGGCUGAGGCACUUCUACGCUGUUUUAUGUGUCUGAACUGAGCCGAUUCAUGUGCUGAGUAAUAAUCAAAGUUUUGAUUCCGCCUCCUCGUCUACCUUUAGUAUGUACUCCGUAUAUAAACUUGAUUGCAGUUUGCAACUGAUUCUCGGCCAUAGAUUAUCACUGUUGCGUUGUUCAUUAGAUCCAGUUUCUGUGGUAUUAUGUGGGUGAGGUAGUUCCUCUUUGGAUUUUUCCUAUCCUUGAGAUUGUUUGAUUACUGGUUUAUUCCCAUGUUUGUUUAUUUCUAACUAUUUUUAGAUGAUGAUUUCUAAAUUCUAACUGUUUUUAUCUGCUAUUUUUUAUGUAAGCAGCAGCGUAACAGUUUCCUGCAGCCAUGGGUAAGGAGAAGACUCACAUAAACAUUGUGGUCAUUGGCCAUGUCGACUCUGGCAAGUCGACCACCACUGGCCACCUGAUCUACAAGCUUGGUGGUAUUGACAAGCGUGUGAUCGAGAGGUUCGAGAAAGAGGCUGCGGAGAUGAACAAGAGGUCGUUCAAGUAUGCGUGGGUGCUUGACAAGCUCAAGGCUGAGCGUGAGAGAGGUAUCACAAUUGAUAUUGCCCUGUGGAAGUUCGAGACCACCAAGUACUACUGCACGGUCAUUGAUGCCCCUGGCCACCGUGACUUCAUCAAGAAUAUGAUCACUGGCACUUCUCAGGCUGACUGUGCUGUUCUUAUCAUUGACUCCACCACUGGUGGUUUUGAGGCUGGUAUCUCCAAGGAUGGCCAGACCCGUGAGCAUGCUCUCCUUGCUUUCACACUUGGAGUGAAGCAGAUGAUUUGCUGCUGCAAUAAGGUAUGAUUCCAGGAAUUCCUAUCUAGUCUGGUUCAUGAUCUGAGAUGCCUGUAAAUAUGCGCUUCAAUAGUCUAGGCUGCACUCAAUUAUACUGCCUUCAAGUUGAAUACUGAUUGAAUAACUAAUGUUGGUUGUACUAUAAAUUUGGCAAAAUGAUACUCUGUUUACUUUGAAUAAUCCAUCUGCUUCCUACAUAUAUAUGAUAGCAUUUUUUCUGCAUAACUUUGCAUAAUCCAAUAUAAUAUUUUCAGGAAGUUUUUCCCGAUAGGUGAUGUGACUUUGUAACUCCACCUGAUUUUUGAAAUUCUCUCAAGUUGUUGGAAUGCUUGCAAUGCAUAUGUAAUUAAAGGAUAUGGGUUUGCUUAAAUGUCUUUAUAUGAUUGCAGUAGUUAGUUUACUACUUUACCUUGUAAAUUAGUAAUGGAACACUGAUUGUUUUCAUUGAAUACGCCAUCUACUUUAUACAUGUUUAUGUAUGAUAGCAAUUUAUUUGCAUUACUUUGCAUAGUAUAAUUUGAUUAUCCAGGAUAAUUGUCCCCAUAGGUGAUGUAAAUUUUUAAUCCCACCUUAUUUUAGAAAUUUUCUUAAGUUGUUGGAAUGUUUGCAAUGCACAUGUAACUAAAAGUUAUGUGUUUCUUAAAUGUCUUUAUAUGAUUGCAGUAGUUAGUUUACUUUGUCAAUUAGUAGGAUUUGUUGGCAUGCAUCUGUUAAGGUCAGUAUUUUUGGGCCUUGUUUAGUUCCCAAAAAAUUUUGCAAAAUUUUUCAGAUUCCCCGUCACAUCAUAUCUUUAGACGUAUGCAUGGAGUAUUAAAUAUAGACGAAAAUAAAAACUAAUUGCACAGUUUAGUCGGAAUUGACGAGACGAAUCUUUUAAGCCUAGUUAGUUCAUGAUUGGACAAUAUUUACCACAAACAAACGAAAGUGCUACAGUGUCGAUUUCCCAAAAAUUUUUGGAACUAAACAAGGCCCAUGUAUAUGCCUGGCGGUUAUUUGUGUUUUCCCCCCAACAAAUCUCAUUCCUUGUGCAAGUGCAGUUGACCAGUUAGUUCUGAUUAUUAUGUUCUUUCAGUUUUACUGUUUGCUUGCUGUUUAGGUAACUUAUCUGAAUCAACUAAUGAUAUUGUUUGGGUUUUGCUGCUUUACAGAUGGAUGCCACCACACCCAAGUACUCGAAGGCCCGUUAUGAUGAAAUUGUGAAGGAAGUCUCUUCCUACCUGAAGAAGGUUGGAUACAACCCAGACAAGAUCCACUUUGUUCCCAUCUCUGGUUUUGAAGGUGACAACAUGAUUGAGAGGUCCACCAACCUUGACUGGUACAAGGGCCCAACCCUGCUUGAGGCUCUGGACUUAAUCAAUGAGCCAAAGAGGCCUUCAGACAAGCCCCUGCGUCUCCCCCUUCAGGAUGUGUACAAGAUUGGUGGUAUUGGAACUGUUCCUGUGGGACGUGUUGAGACUGGUAUCAUCAAGCCGGGUAUGGUUGUCACCUUCGGUCCUAGUGGCCUUACAACUGAGGUUAAGUCUGUUGAGAUGCACCACGAGGCUCUCCAGGAGGCCCUUCCUGGUGACAAUGUUGGCUUCAACGUUAAGAAUGUUGCUGUGAAGGAUCUGAAGCGUGGGUAUGUGGCCUCCAACUCCAAGGAUGACCCUGCCAAGGAGGCUGCUAGCUUCACCUCACAGGUCAUCAUCAUGAACCACCCUGGGCAGAUUGGCAAUGGCUAUGCCCCAGUGCUGGACUGCCACACCUCACACAUUGCUGUCAAGUUUGCUGAGCUUGUUACCAAGAUUGAUAGGCGAUCUGGCAAGGAGCUUGAGAAGGAGCCCAAAUUCCUCAAGAACGGUGAUGCUGGUAUGGUGAAGAUGGUUCCCACUAAGCCCAUGGUGGUGGAGACCUUCUCUGAGUAUCCUCCUCUUGGUCGCUUUGCUGUCCGGGACAUGAGGCAAACGGUGGCUGUUGGAGUCAUCAAGAGCGUGGAGAAGAAGGACCCAACUGGAGCCAAGGUGACCAAGGCUGCCGCCAAGAAGAAAUGAGGUGUCUGUCUGGCUGGUUCUGUGUUUUCUCGAUGGAUACCUAGUUGAAACUUAAAAUAUUUCGUCAUUGCUGUUAUCGACGUGAGCAACUAAACUGUGCUAGCAAUGUUUGUCUGGUCGAUUUAGUAUUGUUAUUUUCGUUAAAACCAGGGUACUAUUAAGACUCAAUUUCUGUUAUUUUUGUAUCGAACAUCGGGUGUUGGCCAUAUGUGGUUAUGAGUUUUGUUACUACCCUUGUUGCAGUGUUUGCCUGUUUACUUGUUUUGCUCGUCCUUGCCUGUAUGCUGCGUUCAAAUUUCUCUUGCUCUUCGUUCCUUUUGAUCUUUAAGUUGCCAAAAUUGCAUAUCGAGUAUUUUGAAAUACUGUCGUAAAAGAAAGUAUUUUGAAAUAUUCUUCCGAAACGUCUUUGAUGGCAUCAAAUCCUAUACUGCUUUCCUUUAGUUUAACAUCUACAAUCCAGUAUAGGUUCCCUUUAGUUUUACCAUCUUAGGCGUUGUUUAGUUGGCUGGAUGAAAAUUUUAGCUUCCCUUUAGGCUUUGUUUAGUUUGCAAAAUUUUUCGUUUUUUGCUACUGUAGCACUUUUAUUUUUAUUUAACAAACAUUAUCUAAACAAGGAGUGACUAGACUUAAAAGAUUCAUCUCACAAAUUACAUGUAAACUGUGUAAUUAAUUUUUAUUUUUAUCUAUAUUUAAUGUUUCAUACAUGCGACUAAAGAUUCGAUAUGAUGGAGAAUCUUGAAUUUUUUUCGAACUAAACAAGGUCUUAGUUUUACCAUCUUAGGCGUUGUUUAGCUGGGUGGGUGAAAUUUUUUUGGAUUCUGUAGUAUUUUCAUGUGUAUUUGACAAUUAUUUUUAAUUAUGGAUUAACUAGUUUAAAAGAUUUGUUUUACGAUAAAAUUGUAUAAUUAAUUUUUAUUUUUGUCUAUAUUUAGUGCUAUAUGUAGAUGUAACAAAAAAUCUUAAAAAGUUUUUAGAUUUUUUGGAGGAAACUAAACAAGGCCUUAAUAUGCCUUAAAACAUAGGAAUGGGGUAUAGAUGUCAUGAGAAAAUAGAGGAAUAAGAAAAACAAGAAAUAACGGUAGAAUCAAAUAAAUUAUAGUAAUAAUAAUAAAGCUUUAGUACUGAUAAGUAAAUUAUAGUAAUAAUAAUACAAGCUUGAAUCAGUUGUACUGAAUAAGUAAAUUAUAGUACUUUGCUAAGAUUAUAGAUUAUAGUUUUCCUUUAAAAUAAGAAGCCUGCAACAAUGUUCCAUUGGAAAGGAACAUGACAAUUCAUUGCUCCUGGCCUUGUUUAGUUCCGAAAAGAUUUCGGAUUUCGGUACUUAGUACUUUCGUUUGUUUAUGACAAAUAUUAUCAAAUUAUGGACUAACUAGGAUCAAAAGAUUCGUCUCGUGAUUUCCAGCUCAACUGUGUAAUUAGUUUUUGAUUUCGUCUAUAUUUAAUGCUUAAUGCAUGUGCCACAAGAUUCGAUGAACUAAACAAGCACAUCACCUCUGCUGAACGGCCUGCUCCUGCACUCGUCUGCCGCCAGCAUGAUGCUGUGCGCGUCGGGCGUCCUCGUCAUGCUCCCGCACUCCGCGCUUUGCCGAUGCCACGCGCUACGGUGUACGCAUGACGUGGGUGGCGUGCUGCCUGUGGGAUGGCGCACGUCGUGACCUGCUCGCUAGUGUGUCCGUGUCUUUUUGCAAAACGUGAGAAAAAAAAAGAGUAACGUUUGUGUCUACGGGAGUAUUUGGUUGAGGUAGCACAUUUAAAUUAUAGUAAUUAGUAUCUAAUUAUAAAUUAAUUAGAUUUAAAAAUCAUCUUAUAAAUUAUUCUUUAAUUGUGUUUUUAAUUUUAUAGAUAAUCUAUAUUUAGUAUUUCAUAUAUAUGUCUAAAUAUUUUAUAUGAUAGGUGUUAAAAAAAGGUCGGAACGCUAAGCUCUUCGGUGGGACUGUGGGAGAGAAAGUGAAUUUAAAUCUUCACGUACUGUGGACCAAUCGGAGGAAGGAAAGUAGAGAUAUCGUCUUGCAUGCGAGGGAAAAUCAAUAAAGAAUUUACUCAGCGUGGGAAGAAUUAACCAUUUUUUAGUGGCGGUGCCAAAAAUUGCACAGAGGAGUAUAUGGGCUAAGCGUAGCUCAUCUGUUUAGUUUUUUUCAAGGUGCAUUGGUUGCACUUACACCUUUGACUAUACUAGUUAAGUAUACGUUCAAUAAAAUAUAAUGAAAUGUAAGUACACAUUUAGUAGAACCUAAUUUUUUUAAUGUGAUUUUAUUGUCUAGUGACAUAAAAAAUGCACUCCCUCCGUACUAGAAAAUAAAGUCUUUUUGGAUAGGGACACGGUCUCUAAAGCAUAACUUUGACUCCUUGUUUUUAUAAAAAAUUUUAUCAGAAAGUGAUAUAUAUAUAUUUUAAUGAAAGUAUUUUUCAAGACAAAUCUAUUCAUAUAGUUUUCACAAAUGAAAGUAUUUUUCAAGACAAAUCUAUUCAUAUAGUUUUCACAUUUCUAAACUCAACAACUUAAAAUUUAUUCAUUAUUUAUAUUCCCAAUGUUUGACCCGAACUUUGUCUAAAAUAACUUUAUUUUUUAGUGUGGAGGGAGUAUAUAACAAGAAUUUUUUUAUUAUAUCUUCCAAAUAUAAACAUAUUCUAUACUUCGACAGUCCACUAUCAUUUGUAAUUAAAGUUCACUAACAAAAGCAAUUAUAAUAUCCACGUCACUGGGACACAUCAUCCACUAACAUACAUUUAGUUAUCCACAUCAGCAUGUCACGCUCUACUAACAUUAUUUUAUAAUAGUUAGUCUCUUACUAAAAAUGUAUGAAUAGUUAAAUUGCAUUCCAAAUCAUUAGUUUCGCAACAACGCGCGGGAUGUUCUUUUAGUGUUAUUAAAUCUCUAAUUCAGGGAUCAAGAUUCUCUUCUAUUUCGAGCGGAGUAAUAAUUGAACAAACAGGGGAAAUCCUAGGAAAGGAUAAUGGUCUCAAUUCUUAUAUGUCUUAAAAUUACUACUUCCUCCAUCACGAGACGUUAGUCUUUUGAUUAAAAAAUAUAAAAUAUAACUUAAAAUCACAAAAUAGAUUUCAACCAUUAUUUUUAAAUAUGUUAUUAUUUGUUAAAAAUAAUAUUAAAUUUAGAAACAUUUUGAAUAUAAAUUUAUUGAUACAAUUUUUAUCUCUAUAUAAAUUUGUAUGUAAUUGGGAUAAUUAUUAGUUAGAAAUUAUUUAUAAUAUUUGAUUUUAUCAAAAUAAGAUACGUUAAUUAUUUCGGGACGGAGGGAUACGGUGACUAGGGCCGGUAAUUUUCAGUGGACAAACAUAGCGGCAAUUUUCAUUGGACAAGCACAUAAGCCUCCAGCCAUCGAUCCCAACUCCAAGCCUCCAACGCUGCACCAAGAAGCACCGAACCGCCCUGCUUGAUGCUCAUUGUGCCAUUUGUGCCUGACCCAUCCUGCCACUCAUGACGACCUUGACGACCUUGGGCCUAACCCAUCCUGCCAUCCAGGACGAUACUGGUGAAAAGUCCACGUUACUUUUCUCAACUUUCACAAAAGUAUAUUUUUUCUUAUGAAACUUCAAAAUCGGGCAAAAUAUCUCCCUUAAAUUUUAAAACCUUGAUCUUACCUUACUGUCCUUGUUAUAAGCAGCUUUGAAGGCGGUUUGGUCUUUUUAUUUUUUAGCUAAUUCUUUAAAAAUCAUAGUAAAACAUAGGAAAAUCAUGAAACGAAAAAGGCUAAUUUUGUUGAACUCCACGUGAAUAGAUAUAUAUACUAAACAUAUAAUAUGAUAUGCUUUAGUAUAAAGUUUUUCAAUAGUUUUAGAUCUAUGUUUUUUUAUAAUUGAAUGAAAUGCAACUUAUAUGGUCCAAUGGUGAACUAAUUAUUAUAUGCCUAAAUUGUACUAAAAAUUUCAUAUUCAUUGGAUCAUGUAUAACUUAGUUAUAGAUUUUUUAAGGUUAUUGCUUGUUUAAUAUAAAUAAAUCUAUAACUAAGUUAUACAUAAUUCAUUGAGUAAAAUUUUUACUACAAUCAAAUCAUACCAUAAUUAACCCACCAUAAAAAUUUCAUCAUAAUUGGACCAUAGAACUCGCAGCUGUGAAUUAUUCCAAUUAAUUAUUAAAAAGCACAGAUCUAAAGACACAAAAAACUUUAUAGUAAAAUAUACCAUAUUAUAUAAUCAUUGUGUAGAUACUCAUGUGGAGUCUAACAAAAUUAGAUUUUAUAUUUUAUGAUUUUUUGCGAUUUACCAUGAUUUUCAAAUAUUAAGAUGAAAUAAAUAAAAAAGAAAGAGACAAAAUUGCCUUUAAAACUACUUACAACAGGACCAAAGAGGUAAGAUAAACAGUUUUAAAGUUGAGGUAGGUAUUUGUUUGGUUUUAAAGUUUUGAGAGGAAAAGUAGACUUUCGCAAAAGUUGAAGGAGGUAAUGUGGAUUUUUUUUUCCUAUUUUGACCCAACCUCACAUAGCUGUGCUUUUCAUGGUGUUGACCAGUGUAGCAGGUUGAUACUGCUGAAAGGAUCAAGAUGCUCAAGACGAGGGGUGAAUUGGGCUUCUCUAAAAAUUUAAGCAACCUAUAAGCCUCAAUUCAAUCCUUGUGCCUAAUUGUGUUCUAGAGAGCUACCGGACAAAAGUUUUGCAAUCUACUUCCAAUCCUAUUCUAGUAUGGCAAUUAUAGAAAAUAUAAAGUUCUGAAUUUAAGUACUAGAAUGUGAAGGGUAAGAGGAAGAGAAACGCCACGAUGUUUUGUCGAGGUAUCAGAGAGUCGCCAUUCCCCACCAGACCUCAUUGGAGCACACAUGUAAGGGCCUUGCUCCCCCUUGAUCCGCGCAAGGACCAAGUGCUCUCUACGGGUUGAUUCUUUGACACUUCGUCGCAGUGAAUCGCCCACAACCGCUCACAAGCUUGGCACGAGCUACCCACAAGAACAUCGGAUGAUCUUCGUGGCUCCAAUCACCACCGAACCGUCUAGGUGAUGACGAUCACCAAGAGUAACAAACAAUAAACUCUCACUUGACCCACACAAGGCUAAAGAGAGUGGUGGAUGCACACUUAAACUCUUGAUCUCAUUAGAGAAGGAUCACUCAAGAAAUCACUCAAAUCUCAAUUAUGUCUAGGCUCUUACUUCACCCUUGCACCAUAAGGUGUUUUUGAGCCGAAUAAAUGGGCAAGAGAGGUUUCUUGGGCAUGGUGGAGAAGUAUAUAUACCUCCCACCAAGUCCAAGAGUCGGCCAUGUGCACCCGACACUCUUGAUGUUGCAACGGACGCUUGCGCAGAGAGUCGAGUGCCUCAACAACAGCUAGUUGCGGUAUGAAAACCCUUAUCACACCGGACGCGUAGGGGCGUCCGAUGCCCUCACUCUGGAUGCAUCUAGUGCGGAAACUCUUUUGACAUGCUCCUUGGGUAAGGGAAUAGACACACCCGGAAGCGUCCGGUGCUGUGUCCGGUGCCAUACCCUAGACACGUGGCACGCUGGCUCAUCACCUGCAUACACCGAACGCACAAACAGUCCUAUUGUUGUGUUUGAUGCCAGCGUCCGAUGCCUAAAGUCAAUCAACACUUCAUCGAAACGCGAACUUUCCAAAACAAAGUUUGAUCCUCUCGAUCUAAGGACUCUCUCUAAGUUGCCUAGUGCUAGAAUUAACAAGUGUGCACCACACCUAGACCUAAAGUCUUGCCUCGGUUAAGCUACCCGUUUGUUGCCCCCUUAAUAGUACAGUCAAAAGGAAAAAUAAAGUCCUAAACUACUCUAAACACCCUUCAACUCCAAAUGGCACUUAGACCUAGUCUAAUCCUGACGAUGUCCAUGAUCCUUUAAAAACUAAAACGAUUUCUGCCAUCAAAGUGGGCACGAACUCAAUAGUCCAUUAAUCACCAUUACCAUGACCUAACUCAUAUGAUUGCCGCUGCAAAACAUACGUUAGUCAUAGUAAUCAACAUUGUCAUUAAUCACCAAAACUCACUAGGGGCCUAGAUGCUUUCAAUCUCCCCCUUUUUGGUGAUUGAUGACAAUAACCUCGAGUAUGUGAAAGAGAGUGAGGUUUUCAGACAACUUGGUUCAUAUAAGCAUGAGACAAAAAGAGCGAAAAGAGAAUUAGUCAAGCUUAUAUCAACCAAGCCAACAUCCUACAUCCAAAGAUGUGAGUCGAGUUCACCAGGAGAAACAAGUGGCUCAUAUGAAAUCAGAGUAAAACGCGGAAGCAAAAUAAUAUGAGCCAAAACACAUGACAUAGAGAGAUAAACAUGUAGCACACAUGACAUGUCUAGCAUCCAACAAGCAUAACUGAGGAGUGUAUCAUACAAUGCAUAAAGGUAAAUAUGAUGCAUGAAGUAUCACACAAAGAACAAAAAUACAGCUCAUAAGCUCCCCUAAGUCUAACAUACUCGCUCUCUCUCUCUCUCUCUCUCUCUCUCUCUCUCUCUCUCUCUCUCUCUCCCUUUGGCAUAAAGUACCAAAAACCUAAGAGUCUAUCGGUGGAGACAGAGCGGAUGAGUCGCGAGGAAUGGCCUCAAACUAGGUCAAGUCAACAUCUAAGUCCUCAUCGAUCGUUCUCUAGGAAGCUGUGCUAGGCUGAACAUCUACUUGACCCUCAGUAUCGUCACGUGUAGGUAAAGCGGUUUGGGUCGGCUCUACAAACUCUAGAACUGUCUGAUGUGUUGUCUCAGUCUCAACCUAUGACUCAACUCUGGUGGAGGUGGCUGGCAUAGACUCUAUAGCUAUCGCUGAGGCCUCUAGGAGAGUAGAAGACUGGACAAGCUGCUCAGAUGAAGCAAGUGAGGAGGACAGAAGCUCUGUAGUCGUAAUAGGAAUUAUGGAGGUUCCUUGAGCCUACUGUGGAUGAGGUGUCGGCAUGCUGGUAAGCUCACUAUAAGAGAAAGAUAACCCCUGUCCAGUCGAAGUCUCACGCGCUAAGUAUGACUCAGUGUGUGUCUGAGGAGUAAAGCCUGUACAAAGCAAAGUGAACUAUGGUGUCUACCCAAAGCUAGUAGAGAUCACACCCUGAGAGACCUGCUAAGGUGGAGUCAUGAAGGGCUGACUCUGAGCUGGAAGCUGUAGCGGCUGCUGAGACUGACUCUAAAGCCCACCAGGCUAUAACGCUAGAGUCGUGGUGGUAGAUGGACCGAUAGGAGGAACACCUAGAAGCUGAGACUGUGGAACUGUGACCCCUUUCGCUGCCACUAGAGCUACUAGAAGUGCGGCCUACUGAGCCUGAUAGGCAAGCUGCUGCUUUUAAAAGGAAAGAAGUUGUCGCUGGAGCUUGUCCUGGCGAGCCUGAAGUGCAGCAGCUAUGGUAGCCUGCUCUCUGUCACAUCUGGCCUAUUCCUCAGCCAUCCUCUACUGAUCAGCCCUCAUCCUAUCACGUAUAGCAAGUAGUGCUAGAUUUAUAGAGGAACUGCCAGCCAUGCGUUCAUGUGACCGAGGUGGAAGGUUAGGAAUAGGCUGGUGAUAGUCAUCAUCUGAACUGUCAAAGGUGAACUCAAACUCACUCUCUGCCUCUGCCUCUACCAUGGCUUCAAUAGCCAUGUGCUGCUCCUCUAUCUCAAGUAGAGCCCCUGAACUGCGUGUAGCUCUAGGUGUAGGUGCUGGAGAUGGUGCUCGUGGUGCAGGUGCUGCCACUGGUGAUCUCAAAUCAACAUAGGUCCUCAUCAUCUGGCGAAGGUCAUAGUGAGGAAACAUAGUCAUUGGUCAGUCAGCUCUCUCUAGAUCUAGGGAGGAAGUGGUGAAAGCCCUAGUUUGGUUUUGGAUAAUUGAUGAAACCCUAGUACUAACCUCUAUACUAAGUGUGUGUAGACUUAAUGAGGUUGGUACAUGCCAAGUGAUGGAGCAAGUGAUGAUCAUGGUGAUGAUGGUGAUGACCACAAGAUGAUCAAGUGCUCAACUUGGAAAAGAAGAAAGAGAAAAACAAAACCCUAUGGAGAUCAAGGCAAAGGUAUUGCUUAGGGUUUUGGUUUUGGUGAUCAAGACACCAUAGAGGGUGUGAUCACAUUUAGGAUAGAUAGCCGUACUAUAAAGAGGGGAAUUCUUUGGCUAAGCGGUUAUCAAGUGCCACUAGGUGUCAUUGUUCAUGUGCAUGCAUUUAGAACCUAGUGAGCUAACUUAACUCCUUCGAAGAAAAAUGUUUGUGAAAAUGCUAACACACGUGCACUUGUUGGUACACACUUUGUGGUGUUAGCACACUUUGAGAAUGAGGUGGAGUUUAAAGGGUAGAGAGAGGAUGGGUAGUCGCAUAUUUUGUGAAAAUGCUAACACACGUGCACUUUGUGGUGUUAGCACACUUCGGCGCUUUUCGAGAAAACGAAGUGCAUAUUUUCUAUUGCGCCGGUGGGAAAUUUGGAGUAGUCGCGGGAGUGUUUCUCGCUGAGAAAACACUCACCGGACGCUGGCUUCUGGAGCACCGGACGCUCAGACGUCCGGUGCAGACAGUGCCUGGCCCAGUUAGGGUAAGGCACCGGAUGAUAGGCACCGGACGCUGGCUUGAGCGUCCGGUGGUGCGCGUCCGGUGUGCGGGCGUUUUGCGACCCUCUCUGCGCAUGAGUCCGGUGUGCACCGGACGCGUCCGGUGCCAACCUGCUCAGCGUCCGGUGCUCUGCAGGUUACCGUUAGACUCUGACACGCGGCUGACGUUGGAGCACCGGACGCAGGUGUUGAGCGUCCGGUGCCCCUUUAAGAGCGUCCGGUGACCCCGAGUUAGACCCAGUGAGAGAGCCAAUAGCUCUAUUUGUUUGAGGGGUCUAUAAAUAGUUGUUAGCCGGCUUAGGGCUUACACUCUUGGCAUUCUAACAUACUUGACAUCCUUAUGAGCCUAAGCAAACACCUCCCACUCAUCUCCUUCGUAGAUUAAACAUCUUUGUGAGAUUGGGAGUGAUUCUAAGUGCAUUUGCUUGAGUGAUUGCAUCUAGUGGCACUUGGGGAUCGUUCUAGCUGCGGUUUUCUUGUUACUCUUGGUGGUUGCCGCCACCUAGACGGCUUGGAGCAGCGGAGGAGGAUUGGCACGAGUUGGUGAUUGUUCGUGGCCAUCUCCCGGUGAUUGUGAGGGGUCUUGUACCUUCCCCGGCGGAGAGCCGAAAGGUAACUCUAGUGGAUUGCUCGUGUCAUUGAGUUACCUCACUUGUGGGUAGGUUCUUGUGGUGUCCUAGUGAGGACGAGGUUCGUGCUACACCUCUUAGCCACCGAACCACCAAGUGUUGGUCGACACAACGGGGACGUAGCGUGCCGGCAAGCACGUGAACCUCGGGAGAAAAAUUAGUGUCUCAUUUGUGUUUGAUUGGCAUUCUCCCAGUGCUUGAUUGUUUAUAUUGGUCAUUGGUGCAUCCCCUACACGGCGGUAUAAAUAUCUCAUCCUAUCUUUACUUACCGCAAACUAGUGUAAUUAGUUUAGUUCCUUACUUUGACUUGUGUAGCUUAGUUCUCUAGUGUCACUUGUAGAGACUUAGUUCUUGUGUGCAUAGAGAUCAUAGCAACUAGAAUUAUUGGGUAGGUGGCUUGCAAACAUCCCUUUAGAGCUAGAGCAAAAAGCUUCGCUUUGUUAUUUACUAACCUUUUGCUCUAGUGAGUUUGUAGAUUUUUUAGAACAGGCUAUUCACCCCCCCUCUAGCCAUAUUAGGACCUUUCACCAGCCCAAUACACGAGAGGGGGACUAUAUAAGAAUCAAUGGAGCUGUCACUACCACGAACUACCCCGCGAUCUGGCAUAUAGGGUACAAUCGCAGAUAAAUACGGUAUAAGCACCACGCCUACACAAUAUCUAUCAUUUACCCAUGGAUCAGAUGGAUAAACGCUAUACGGUCCUAAACAUGUAUAUAAUUCCAAUCUAACUAAGCCAAGUAUAUAACUAUGAUAAACUAAGAACAAUAUAAUUGCGAAUAUAAACAAGUAGAGCAAAGUCAUAAUCAAUAUAUUGAAGUAGAACAAAGUCAUAUUCAUAAUAUCGAAGAACAAAGAUGAACAACUGAAGAACAAUAGAGAAUUACCAAGAAUCCUCUUGACAGAUCCAGAAACCAAUCGAAGAUUGACUCCUUCUAGUUCUAAUCCUAUGUAGCUAUGCUAAUCUAGAUAUCUAAUUGAUGUGGUGGCUCUAGGAUUGAUCAGAGGCUUCUUCUCCCUUGAUGAAUAAUGAAUUAGGGUUGAGAGGUCCUCUCCUCCAGGGGCCAGGGGGUCUAGUUUUAUAGUCCUUCCAAGUGAAUAUGGACCGUCGGAUCAAACCGACAUUGAUUGAACGGUUAUCUUUGAUCCUUUAGGUCGGUGGAGCGUAAUCCCAAAAGAGAGUCCUGAUUGGACUCCAGAGGGGGCGGGCGUCCUGGUCCCUAGGGCGGGCGCCCUGGGCCAGGCCCUGUUCUGCCUCCGCUUCGUUCCCGUGACUUCUGGAGUCUUCUAGAUGUAAGAUAAUUGCGCGGCACGUUAAUAUCUCUAUGACCCGACGUGUGGGCCUUUCUUCCGUAUUUCCCGAUAACCCCCUGCAGAAAUAGACAAACACCAAAACUCAUGGAAUUCUGUCAGAUAAAACCCUAAGUCUGGAUGUUGAUUGCAUUUGGAUCCUUUUCUUUGUUUAUUUGAUAGUUAAAUUUGAUACUUAAGGACCGUCAACAAACUCCCCCAAGCUUACCUCUUGCUCGUCCCUGAGCAAGGAUAGACUUAGCGAUAGACAAGAAGUUGUUGCAAUGCCUUUAAAAGUUGACGGUACACAUGCUUUUAAAUGAGGUCUCAUCCCUAAGUUAGAGUAAACUGUCAAGACUUAAAACUUACUUACUUUACCUUUCACCAUGGGACUGGUAACCGUCACUUCUGUCUUGAGUAGUUAAAAGAUAGAACAGUAUAGCCAAGUGCCAUGUCUCUUAUUCUUGAUCAGCUAUAGCUCUGGAGUUUUUGUAGAUUUUCAAAUAAAACUCAGAGAUUCCUUGUAUGACUCUCUCAGAUCUCUCUUUUGUGGUAUUUCUGGAUCCUUACCAAGGCAGUGAUGGUAUAUGCCUUCUCUCAAGUAUGUAGUAUUUGUGGUAUAAGGCAUAGUGACAUUGCCUUCUCUCUCACCCUACUCUAAUAAGGCUUUAAUAUCUAGAGCUCAUAGGUGGGAUAUAAAGUAUACAUACUCACAAGACAUUUAUUGUAUAGUCAAACCAUAGAUCUAGAGAAACAAGUCAAUAAGUCAAAUCAAGAUGUGCAUAUGAAGCAAAUGAAUGGUGUAUGACGAUGAUGGUGAUAACAAUGGUGAAAGUCUAAUUCUACUUUUGCUCUUUUGAGGGGAUAUAUACCUUCCUUGCUCUUUUGAAACUUUUUGAGGAGAAUGAGAUGCUCUAUAUUUUCUUUAUCUUUCCUCUCAGGUGGGUAUUUUGUACCCCUAAUUCUACUGUCGGACACUUGUCCAUUUUUACCUCUAGUCUCACUUUUUCUUUUCUUUCGAGGUUCCGGGCACUUGCCCCUUUUUAUUUCCUCGUAUCGCUCUUUUCUUAGAGCACUCAUGUAAGUGCAUUCGCUCCUGAUGUGGGUUUUGAUAAUUAAUGACAACCAAAUUAGGGACUAACAUGUUUAUCGAGCAUAAUCUACAGGUGUUAGUCCAUUGAUGGAAUUGAACAAAAACAUUCGGUGAAUUAUAGCACCCCUAAAUUUCCAAUGGAUGAACGGUGUUUUGACUCAAGUGGCUACAAAGUUUUUAUUCUUUGCUUGAGUUAUAGGAAACGCCGCACUAUCAAGAGGGAUGCAAAUUGAGUUGGUAAGAUGAGGAUAAAAGUGCUCAGGUCAACUUAGCUCUUGCGCUUGAGAGACACACUUGCACGCACGAACCACUAGGAAAUUUCUUCUCUGCCAGGGUGUGCCGGUAGUACCGACCCUCAGGGCCGGUGGUACCGGUAGUGCCAGUCCUUCUCCUGAGUUUUGCGAGAAAAUGAACUACCGGUAGUACCGGGCUCGGGCCGGUGGUACCGGCCAGCACCAGUAGUACCGGUGUGAAACGCCGGUAGUACCGGCAGGCCAAAUCUGCGCUGACUUUGGUUACGGAGAUUUGAAUUGCUGGUGGUACCGGCCUUCCACCGGUGGUACCGGGAAUGGUCGGUAGUACCGACAAAAGCCCGGUGGUACCGGUAGGCUUAUUUCUCGCAAAUCCUAGAGACUUCUUACCGUUAGAUCUGAGGUAGCCGGUGGUACCGGUGGUUGCCCUGGUAGUACCGGCAGUUGUUCAGGAUCUGUGUAUAAAUAGCUCUUCCCUCAUUUCUGACCGUUAGCUCUCCCAUUCCUUCAACUCUACAUUUGAGAAAAUAGUCUCCAAGCUUUGACUCACCCACUCUCUCUCCCUCUUUGCUCCUAGACUUCACUCCUUGAGAGAUUCGAGCUAGAGAAGUGAGAUUAGAGAGUUGGGAGCUUCGAUUUGUGACUUGAGCACUUGGUUUCUUCGUCUUGCCGGUUUGGUUUGCAUUUGUUACUCUUGGGUUCUUGGAACCCUAGCCAGCUAGGCGUUCUUCGUGGUUGCCCGUGUUGAUUCAUUUGUGAGGGCACCCCGAAGUGUUUGUAUAACCCUUUGAUUCUUAGUGGAAAUCUUGAGCUAACCUGUGUGGUUGCUUGAGGGAGGAGACCUAAGUGGUCGGACCUUCGUGGUCACCUCAACAGUGGGGAUUGCCGAACCUCGGGAAAAAUAUCUUGUCUUGCUGUGGAGGUAGCAUCGACUACCCUUGUUCUUGUGUUCUUCGUGUUCUUCCUCUGUACUCCCUUUCAUAGGUGAACAAGGGCCGAUCUACGUUUUGGAGAAGAACCGAGCCAAGGGAACUUCAACAUCAUCCUCUACUACAUCUUGGAGAGUGGGGUAACUCUCAGAUCUGAAAUCAAAACUCAAUCUACUCUGAUUUCAUAGCUCUCAUAGGGCGUCGGUAGUAUCAACAGUUGCGUCGGUAGUACUGGCUAUCUUACACCGGUAGUACCGGCCCAAACUGUCGGUAGUACCGGCAGGCAUUUAACUUCCGCAACUUGAGCUUUUGAGUUUCAGGUUUUUAAGAUACGCCUAUUCACCCCCCUCUAGGCCAAUUAGAUCCUUUCAACUCAUCUCAUAAUAUAGCAAGUGGUAGUAACCAAGAUAACUUGAGCAUUUAUUUCACAGGGGAAAAAUAGAAAUAUUUUUGGCUAUUCUCUCCCGAAUUAGGAGUAGAAUAUUUUUGGGUGGUUCUGGAGAUGGAAAUGAGUGGAUAUAUGUGGAUGCGUAUUUCCGGAGUAGAAGCAGCAUAUGUGAGUGAACGUGCAAGUGAAUCUUGAUUUAACCACAAGACAAUCUCCUAAGGGUCUACACAGCUUGACCACACUCAAUGAUCAUAAGUAGUAAAAAAUAAAUGUGUGGCUCAAAGUCUAGCAAGCAUGUAUAUAUGGCUGUGGUAGGAAUUUAAACUCUCAUCAUACAGGAACUCAUCAUGUGAUAUUUUAAAGAUUUUUUAAAGAUAAAAUUCUCCAGAAUUCUAGCAUCUCUAGGAACAGAUAAACAGCAUCUCAACCUUCCCAUAUCAUAUCCGUUAACAACUUAGACUUUAGAUCAAGUUUUCUUCCCACAAGUUCAGGUUUAGAAGCAAGCUUUAAAUUAUAACAGUUAUGUCUAAACUUGAGAAAGAACUCAAAUUUGAAAAUUAGGCAGAGCAACUAUUCAUCAUAUCCAUGCUAGAGUUUUAUUAUUAAGAUUCAGUUUAGCAUAGCCACUUUAUUUAUUUAUUAAGCACACUAAGCAAAAGAUAUAUAUAUAUAUAUAUAUAUAUAUAUAUAUAUAAGCACAAAAUCUUUAUUUGGUUUUCCAUAGUUAUGUAUAUUUAUAUUUUAAUAUAGUAUAAGUAUAAAGAUAGAUAUAAAUACUUAGCGGGAUAAAUGGGGGUGCUCUCCCCCAAGCUGAAUUUUGAUAUAAUUUCUUCUGAUGUAGCUAGCAGGUGGCAGAGGUGUAUUUGAAAGUCGGCAGUAUCCUGACAGCGAUUAGAAUGUCCUCCGUCUGCUAGUCUUCUUGAUUCUUAAAUUCUCUUGGCAAGGCGUUCGGUGUUUUUAAGUCCUCCGAACAAGACUCUCCGUUUUCUCAGUUGUCCUGGGGUUCAUUGGGUGGCGUAGUCGGUGCUUCCGGUAGCGCCUCUUCUUUAUAAUACCCGAUUUUAAAGACAAAACUAGAUAUGCACCAUAUGUGAGUUUUAGAAGCCAAAUCCCACAUAUAGCUACAAAUAAAGGGUAAUAUCAAAAGAGAAUGCAUAAAUAUAUAACGUACUUAGUAUAAAAGAGAUAACCUUUGAUAGCAAACAGCGCAUAGACUACUCCAACUUCGGGUAUUAACUUCUCUCUACAGGAUCCAACUGACUGGUUGAUAACAAGCCUAAACUUCUCCUGAAGGGUGGGGGAAAUAGCAAGAGUGAGUCCAUGUCGAACUCCACAAGUAUAGCAACUAGAUUGUAUAGCUCUCACAAUCUCAUGAUCAAUGUGACAUAAAUAAUGUAAAGCAUUAAAUAAUAAAUAAUGAGCAUAUUUAACACACAAGAAUCAUCAUCGUCGAUGCAAGAAUCCCUAAGGCCGCUUUUGACCGUGAGCAUGACUAGUAUACCAGUUUUAACACUCUGCAGAGGUUGUACAUCUUUACCCAUGAGUCAUGAUUUACCCUUUCGCCCGAGGUGAUCAGCCACUUAACCCACUUCCAAUGAAGGUUGGUAGGGAUCACUAUGAAGCCUUUCAAAAGUUCGUCUAACAUGUUUGAAAGCCCUAGUUUGGUUUUGGAUAAUUGAUGAAACCCUAGUACUAACCUCUAUGCUAAGUGUGUGUAGACUUAAUGAGGUUGGUACAUGCCAAGUGAUGGAGCAAGAGAUGAUCAUGGUGAUGAUGGUGAUAACCUCAAGAUGAUCAAGUGCUCAACUUGGAAAAGAAGAAAGAGAAAAACAAAACCCUAUGGAGAUCAAGGCAAAGGUAUUGCUUAGGGUUUUGGUUUUGGUGAUCAAGACACCAUAGAGGGUGUGAUCACAAUUAGGAUAGAUAGCCGUACUAUUUAGAGGGGUAAUCUCGUUGUGAAAACGGUUGUCUAAGUGCCACUAGGUGAUUGGAUUCCUUGCAUGUGCAUUAGGACCUAGUGAGCUAACUAAGUAACCCUUGAAAAAUGUUUUUGAAAUAUGCUAACACACGUGCACAAGUGUGGAGAAACUUUGGUGUUGGCACAUGGAAGCAAGGAAAGAAGCUGAGUUCUUUGUGUGCAGCGCGUUCAGGCCGGACGCGUCCGGUAUGAGGUCGGACGCGUCCGAGUUGAGGCACCGGACGCGGAAAGAGUUUUCGCGUAGAGUCCGGUGUGCCUCGUCCGGUGAGUUCGUUUCUCGGUGAAACUCUCUGAGUUUGCGUCCGGUGUGAACUAGGACGCGUCCGAGUUGGCGUCCGGUGCAAGCUCCUCUUGCAGAGCUCUCUGGGUGUGAGUCUGGUGCACACCGGACCGUCUGGUGUGUGCGUCCGGUGUGGCGACCGGUGUUGGCUCAAGUUUGCGACGCUCUCUGAGUUUGGGUCCGGUGCACACCGGACGCGUCCGGUGUGAACUAGGACGCGUUCGGUAUUUCAAAAGUGAGCGUCUGGUGCCUUGUCAGUGUCAGAGACAACGGCUACUUUUCUAACGGUCAGGAGCACCGGACGCUGGUCUGGCUCAUACCGGACGCGUCCGGUGUGAACUAGGACGCGUCCUGUGUGAACGCAGACAGUGGGAUUUCCUGCCAACGGCUAGUUGAAGCUUGGGACUUCUAUUUAUAUGCCUUGGCUGGUUCUUGCUCACCCUCUUGACUCUCUAACUUGUUGAUACACCUUGUGAGCAUACUCCCACACUUCCCACUCACCUUGUUCAAGAUUUGUUCAUCCAAAGUGAGAUUAGGAGAGAUCCUAGUUGCAUUUGCUUAGAGUUUGAGCAUCUAGUGGCACUAGUGAUCGUUGAGCAGCGGGUUUGCUUGUUACUCUUGGUGGUUGCCGCCACCUAGACGGCUUGGAGCUGCGGAGGAGCUUUGGCAUGAGUUGGUGAUUGUUCGUGGCCAUCUCCCGGUGAUUGUGAGAGGUUUGUGCCUACCUCGGCGGAGAGCCAAAGGCAACAUUAGUGGAUUGCUCGUGUCAUUGAGCUACCUCACUUGUGGGUAGGUUCUUGUGGUGUCCUAGUGAGGACGAGGUUCGUGCUACACCUCUUAGCCUCCAAACCACCAAGUGUUGGUCGACACAACGGGGACGUAGCGUGCCGGCAAGCACGUGAACCUCGGGAGAAAAAUCGGUGUCUCAAUUGUGAUUGAUUGGCAUUCUUCCGGUGCUUGAUUGUUGAUAUAUUUGGUGAUUGGUUCAUCCCCUACACGGCGGUAUAAAUAUCUUUUCCUCUCCUUUCACUUACCGCAAAGUAGUGUAACUAGUUUUAGUUGCUAGUUUUGUCUUGUGUAGUUAAGCUCACUAGUGUAACUUGUAGAAGACCUAGAGCUUGUGUGCUUAGUGAUCAUAGCAACUAGAAUUGUUGGAUAGGUGGCUUGCAAACACCCUCUUUUAGAGCUAGAGCAAAAAGCUACGCUUUGUUUUUUACUAACCUCUUGCUCUAGUGAGUUUGUAGAUUUUUUUAAUAGGCUAUUCACCCCCCCCUCUAGCCAUAUUAGGACCUUUCAAGUGGUAUCGGAGCCGUGGUCACCGUUUGUGAAGGCUUAACAACCUCGGUGCUCAAAUUAUGGCUCAAAUAGUGUUCAACCAUGUUGGGGGCAAACCACUGUUUUUUGAUGGCACAAGUUCUUUUGACUAUUGGAAGAGAAAGAUGAAAAUGUAUCUUGUAUCAAUCAAUGAUAGAGUGUGAGAAGUCACGGAGAAUGAUUUUGUGAUCCUUGACCCCGCUAACCCAACCGACAAUGAGAGAGCAAACAAGCAAUGCAAUACUAUGGCUCUCAACACAAUCUACAAUGGCAUUGAUUCAAAAGUGUUUGAACAAGUCAAAGAUCUUGAGAAGGCAAGUAAAGUGUGGACAAGGCUAGAAGAAACAUAUGAGGGCACUACAACGGUAAAAAGUGCCAAGUUGUAUAUGCUCAAGGACAAGCUAUCCAACUUCAAGAUGAAGGAUGAUGAGUCAAUCCCGGAGAUGUUCUAUAGGCUCCAAGUCAUCAUCAAUGAUCUCAAGGGACUUGGUGAGAAAGUGAAGGAUGAGGACUUCAUUCACAAGUUCUUGAUGUGCUUGCCCAAGAGGUUCAAGACAUUGAGAACCAUCAUAUUUAGAGGAGGAUUGACGGGUGUAUCUCCCAAUGAGGUACUUGGAGAUGUCAUGACCGAAGAUCAAUAUAAUGACAAUGAUGAUGAUGAGGUCAUGAAGAAGGAUGAUGAUGACAAGAAGAAGAAGAGUGUAGCAUUCAAAGCUAGCUCUUCAUCCAAGAGCAAGAACAAGGACAAGGCCAAGAAGGAAGAAUCAAGUGAUGAGGAGUGCUCCAAUGAUGAUAGUGAUGAUGAAGCACUAGCACUCUUUGUCCGCAAGUUUGGCAAGAUGAAGAAGAAGAAGGGCUAUCACACAAGAAAGAGAAGAGAUCACUUCAAGAACAAGGAGCAUGUGAGGCUAUGCUACAAGUGCAAGAGCCCCGAUCAUAUUGUGGCGGAUUGUCCUUACAAUAGUGACAAUGAUGAGCAUGACAAGAAGAACAAGAAGGAGAAGAAAGAAAAGAAAGAGAAGAAGAUGGUCUUCAAGAAGAAGAAGGGUGGAUCCUAUGUUGUGACAUGGGAUAGUGAUGCUUCCUCGAAUGAUGAUUCUAGUGAUGAUGAUAAGGCAUCCAAGAAGAAGGCACUUGCAAGCAUUGCUAUCAACAACAAGCCAUCACUCUUCGAUACUCCUUCAUGCUUCAUGGCCAAGGGCCACAAGGUACAAUAUGAUGAGAGCGAAAGUGAAAGUGAAAAUGAACAUGAUAGUGAUAGUGAUGAUGAAAAUGAAUUCACUAAUGAACAACUCAUGGACAUGCUAGAACAAGCCGAUUCACUUAUUCAAUCUAAAAACAAGAAGUGCAAAGAAUUGGCCAAGAAGUUAAAAGCUCUUGAGCAAUCCUUUGAUGAGCUCAAUGCUAAUCAUAAGAGGCUAGUGGAAGCCCAUGAGAAGCUUGGCAUGGCUCGCACCAAGCUUGAAAAAGCUCACUCCUUGUUAUUAGAAGAGAACAGGGAAAAGGUUGUUGUAUCAUGUGAUGUGGGCACAACAUGUGACUUAACUAAAGAAUCACCCAACCCACCUAUUGUUGUUGCCACUAACUCUUCAUGUAGGUCUUCAUCCACCACCACCAACUCUACCUCUACUUCUAGUGUUAGUGUCACUUGUGAUGCUUCACUAAAGAUUGAGAAUGAGACUCUCAAGAAAGAGGUGGAUGAGCUCACUCACGCCCUAGGCAAGGCCUAUGGUGGUGAGGCCCGCUUGCUAAAGUGCUUGGGUAGCCAAAGGUUUUCUCUCAACAAAGAGGGAUUGGGCUAUAUCCCCAAGAAAGGCAAGGCGGCCUUUGCAACUCACAAACCUAGCUUUGUGAAGAGCAAUGGUCGGUAUUGCAACAAAUGCAAGCAAGUUGGGCACCUAGAGCUUAAUUGCAAUAAAAUGAACAAGAACAAGAAAAAUGCUAAUGCACCUUACAUUCCUUUUGAUUCUUGUUAUGUGCUUACCAAGGGUGAGAAGGGUGUGCAUGCUAAGUUUGUUGGUACACCAAUUGUGGGUCCAAAGAAGAAGGCCAUUUGGGUACCAAAAAGCUUAGUCACUAACCUCCAAGGACCCAAACAAGUAUGGGUACCUAAGAAACAUUGAUUUGUUUUGUAGGUAAACUAUAAAGCCGGAGGAAGGCAUUGAGUGCUUGAUAGUGGGUGCACACAACACAUGACCGGUGAUUCAAGAAUGUUUAAUUCAAUCAAUCCAAAUGAUGACAAUGGUGUUGAUAGUAUCACAUUUGGUGAUAAUGGCAAAGGCAAGGUCAAAGGGCUUGGUAAAAUUGCUAUAUCCAAUGACUUGAGCAUUUCCAAUGUGCUACUAGUAGAGAGCUUGAACUUCAACUUGUUAUCCGUAGCUCAACUUUGUGAUCUUGGUUUCAAAUGCAUAUUUGGAAUUGAUGAUGUAGAGAUCAUAAGUGUAGAUGGCUCAAACUUGAUAUUCAAAGGUUGCUAGUUUUGUCUUGUGUCGUUAAGCUCACUAGUGUAACUUGUAGAAGACCUAGAGCUUGUGUGCUUAGUGAUCAUAGCAACUAGAAUUGUUGGAUAGGUGGCUUGCAAACACCCUCUUUUAGAGCUAGAGCAAAAAGCUAUGCUUUGUUUUUUACUAACCUCUUGCUCUAGUGAGUUUGUAGAUUUUUUAAAUAGGCUAUUCACCCCCCCCCUCUAGCCAUAUUAGGACCUUUCAAUGUUUGGGCCGCAAGGUUUCCUUUGGCACAAUGACUCGCAGCCUAUACACAUACAGACAGAGGCCACACUAUACCCAAAACGGUUCAGCCCCUCCGACCUUUCGGGUAACCUCUAACAAGCUAGAAAAGGUCUUCAUACUGAGCUAAAGCCAGAUCCAUUAUAGCCCUUAUGGUUGCACUGUUGUCCCGGUUAUCAUUUACAGAUAAAUCAAGUUCCUAAAAAGUUAUUUUUAUCAUUUAUUACUUAACAUUAAUCUAGUCACAGGAUCAUGGUCACAGAAUAAAAUUCAAAUGUUAUACUUGCCUUAAUCCAUUUGCUCUUGCUGAUCCUUUUAGUUCUGCUGGUCUUACUUGUUGCCAAAGCUCUGAUCUUGAUCAGCAAAAACUGCUUUCCGUCUAAACUCGAUCGUCGAUCGCACAAACAAGCGGAAACAAACAUACACGAAGCAAACAAAGCUACAAUUAGAACAGUACACCAAACAUAUAAAAAUAGUAUGAAAAGUUUAUAAAAUGAUUCUACGCAUCGCUACGAUUUCAAAGGCGUAAAGUUCACGAAAAUCGGAGUUAAAACGGUGAAGUUAUGAAUUUUCUAAGAUUUCCUAUAGAUAAAUAAUUAAUUAAAUGCUACUGCGAAAAUAAAAAGUUUCAAAAUAGAGAAAUAAUACUUCUAACAUGUAGAGCUCGUAAAUACAAAUCUAACAAAAUUUGAAUGGACAAAAACGGAGUUCAAAUGAUUAAACUGCGCAUGAUUAAAGGUAGACCGAUUAAAUAAUGGUGGAAGAUUUUGGAAAACUACCAUAACAUGCCUAGUUGCCGCUCGAUGUCCAGGAGACUCAUUGGCCAUAGCUUGCAAUGGCCAGAGGACAGCUGCAGGCAGCACGUGCGGCGCACAGGCAACAACGAUGAAUUAGACGACAUCAAAAGGAGAUGGGCUUCGCUUCUUACGUGCAGCAAGUGCAGAUAAAAAGGAGGCAUCCUGUUCCUUCGUGACUUGAUGUUUAGCUUGCUGAACGAGAGAUCAGGUACUGAAUAGAAAGAAAAUAAGAAGCAAAACAAAUGAUGAGUACUGAACAAAGAGAGAGUCACGCACCAGAAGAGACGAUGAUGAUGAGCACAGGCGAUGGACUAGAGAGAUGACAAAAAAAUAUAUAAUUUACUACCGUGGAAUUUCCAGACUAGGGGCUCUAUUUACGGUAUUUUUUGUGUUUCUCCUAAAGGGUUGGCACAUAUAUAUAUGGAGGAAAACUCUCCACAUCUACAUCAAUUAACAAUAUGGUACUAAUUGAUGUUGCCCCUUCCACCUUUACUAAUAAGCCUAAUUAAUUAUUAAAGCCCACUAGUAAAUAAAUACAUUGGCCUUUGAGAUCAUGGGUUCAGCGUUUGGGUAGAAUGAAAGAUUUAUUAUUUUCGAAAUUAAUUAUUUUUGUGAAUAGGAUAUUUUUAGAAAAGUCCAGAAUUAUUAUUUAAUUCAUGAAAAAUAUUUCAAAAGCUCUAAAAAUUCGGGAAAAAUUCUCGGAGUUAUUAUGAAACAUGAGGAACCCAAAUAAAGUAUUUGAAGCUCAUGAUAAGAUAAUUCGGAGCAUCUAAAAAUUAAAUUAUGCUCACAGUCAAGUGGGAAAAGUUUCACAAAAAGUGUUGGAAUAAAUCUUGGUCAGUUUUUAGAGAUUGAUUGAUGGUUGAGGAACUGAAAGGAAUGAUUUGGGUUACAAAGAAAAGAUUUUGGGAUACUCGAAACAAAAGCAUAGGCUAGAAAACAAGGAAUUUGAUUGUAGAAAAAAAAGAUAAAUCCGUGCCGAAGAAGGGAGAUCGACCUAGUAACGUAUUUUAAACACUCCACUCACUGUCAACACACAAAGGAGCAAUAAGCAAACAUUACAUCAAAUCUUAUGCACCAGCAUGUAUGCACAACAAUAUUGCUAUGCCUUAUGAUAAAUUUUAAUUUACUAAAAAAUGUUAUUUUUCCUAUAUUUUCAUGAGCUCAAAAAUACCAAAUUAAAUUAUUUUAGCUCUAUUUUGAAAGGACCAAAAUUUGGGGUGUUACAUUCUUCAUGUAUAGUUAUCUUCUCUCUCCACAUUUUACUCGGUGGUAUGGUUUCCUCAGGAUAAUCUUGUUCAAGCUGUAUGUCUUCAGAUCUUAUCACUUCUCCUUCAUAGUCUGCCCAUCCAUCCUUGAUGAUUUGCCUCUUCUGGUUGCGGUUGCAUCGUCUUCUUCUUGUCCUGACUUGCUUAGAGUCUUCAAUGAUAUAGUUAGGGUCAGUAAAAUAGCGGCGUACCUUCUCUAAGGGUAAGUGCAUAUGGACUUCUCCAGUUCCAAUGUAGAUGAUUGCUUUAACGGUGUUGAGGAACGGUCUUUCAAGGAUGAUGGGUGGAUCGUACUCGUCUUCUCCCAUGUCAAUAACCUGAAAGUCUGUGUAGACAAAAUGAUCGUCUAUCUUGACAGGGACAUCAGUUACUAUACCUUUAACCUCUCGAAAUGUCUGAUCUGCCAUCUGGAGCUGAAUGUAUGUUGUUUUUAGGGGCAUGGUUCCGAACAAGAGCCGAUAGGUGACUGAAAGGUCCUAAUAUGGCUAGAGGGGGGGGUGAAUAGCCUAUUAAAAAUUCUACAAAACGCUAGAGCAAGAGGUUAGUAAAUAACAAAGUGAAGCUUUUUGCUCUAGCUCUAAGGGGUGUUUGCAAGCCACCUAUCCAACAAUUCUAGUUGAUAUUAUCACUAGGCACACAAGAGCUAUGUCUCUACUUACACUAGAGAGCUACCUAAAGUUUCUACACAAGUAAGUAAGCUACUCUAGUUUGCAAGAAAGUAAGAGAGAAGGUUUGAUCUUUAUACCACCGCGUAGAAGGGAUGAACCAAUCAAUAAUAUAAAGUCCAAUCACCGGGAGAAAUCCAAAGUACAAUCACAAUGGAGACACACGAUUUUCUCCCGAGGUUCACGUGCUUGCCGGCACGCUACGUCCCCGUUGUGUCGACCAACACUUGGUGGUUCGGUGGCUAAGAGGUGUAGCACGAACCUCGUCCUCACUAGGACACCACAAGAACCUACCCACAAGUGAGGUAACUCAAUGACACAAGCACUUUACUAGAGUUACCUUUCGGCUCUCCGCCGGGGAAGGUACAAGACCCCUCACAAUCACCGGGAGAUGGCCACGAACAAUCACCAACUCGUGCCAAUCCUCCUCCGCUGCUCCAAGCCGUCUAGGUGGCGGCAACCACCAAGAGUAACAAGAAAACCGCAGCUAGAACGAUCCCCAAGUGCCACUAGAUGCAAUCACUCAAGCAAAUGCACUUGGAAUCACUCCCAAUCUCACAAAGAUGUUUAAUCUAUGAAGGAGAUGAGUGGGAGGUGUUUGCUUAGGCUCACAAGGAUGUUAUGUAUGUUAGAAUGCCAAGAGUAUGAGCCCCAAGCCGGCCAAACACGUAUUUAUAGCCCCUCAACCAAAUAGAGUCAUUGGCUCUUUUCACUGAGCAAACUGCGGGGUCACCGGACGCUCUUAAAGGGGCACCGGACGCUCAACACCAGCGUCCGGUGCUUCAACGUCAGCCGCGUGUCAGAUUCUAACGGUAACCUGUAGAGCACCGGACGCUGAGCAGGUUGGCACCGGUCGCGUCCGGUGCACACCGGACUCAUGCGCAGAGAGCUUCGCAAACUCGCAAGGUCACCGGACGCGAGCCACCGGACGCACCCUGAGCGUCCGAUGCUCACCGGACUCAUGCGCAGAGAGGUUUGCAAAACCUCCUCACACCGGACGCUCCAAGCUGCGUCCGGUGCCUAUCGUCCGGUGCCUAACCCUAACCGAGUCAGGCUGCCUGCUCACCGGACGCACAGGAACAGCGUCCGGUGCUUCUGAGUCAGCGUCCGGUGAGUGUUCCUCAGCGAGAAACACUCCCGCGACUUCUCCAAUUUUCCCACCGGCGCAAUAGAAAAUAUGCACUUCAUUUUCUCGAAAAGCGCCGAAUAUGCGACUACCCAUCCUCUCUCUACCUUUCAAACUCCACCUCCUUCUCAAAGUGUGCCAACACCACAACGUGUGUACCAACAAGUGCACGUGUGUUAGCAUUUUCACAAAUAUUUUCUUUGAAGGAGUAAAGUUAGCUCACUAGGUUCUAAAUGCAUGCACAUGAACAAUGACACCUAGUGGCACUUGAUAACCGCUUAGCCAAAGAAUUCCCCUCUUUAUAGUACGGCUAUCUAUCCUAAAUGUGAUCACACCCUCUAUGGUGUCUUGAUCACCAAAACCAAAACCCUAAGCAAUACCUUUGCCUUGAUCUCCAUAGGGUUUUGUUUUUCUCUUUCUUCUUUUCCAAGUUGAGCACUUGAUCACCUUGUGGUCAUCACCAACAUCACCAUGAUCAUCACUUGCUCCAUCACUUGGCAUGUACCAGCCUCAUUAAGUCUACACACACUUAGCAUAGAGGUUAGUAAGGGUUUCAUCAAUUAUCCAAAACCAAACUAGGGCUUUCAGUGACUGCGGCCAUUAUGUUGAUGCCCGAUCCGGUAUCGCAAAACGUCUUGUAGAAGUUGCACCCAUUGAUGGAGCAAUAGAUGCUUAGCAUUCGUGGGUCGUCCUUCUUGGUCAGAAACGGUGACUUAAGUCGAUGAUCUUGUCCCUCAUGAACUGCAGUGACCAUCUUAGCUGAUUCGGUCCACACUUGCUUGUUCAUGUUCCUCCUGUUGGUCCUCUUCCUUGAUUCAUGUCGAGAUUGCUCUGGGAUUUGUGUAGUCUUGUUCUUGAAGAAAAACGUCUCCUUUCUCCCUUUGAUGUAGAAACUGAUCUUAGCAGCACUAGCGUAGAUGACAGCUCCUGAGGUGUUUAAGAAUGGCCUCCCUAAGAUGAUGGGUGCCCUCUCAUCAUUACUGGUCUCUAUCACUACGAAGUCUGCUGGGGCAUACAAGGUACCAACUCGGACACAGAGGUUCUUCAAUAUUCCCUUUGGAAAACUUAACGCCUGAUCUGCAAACUGCAAACACAUGGUUGUUUCUAAUAAAGGAUAUGUAAAGAAUUUUUCAUAGAGUACCCUGGGCAUAAUGUUGACGCUAGAGCCAAAGUCGCAGAGUGCUUCUGGGAAGUCCAGCAUGCUGAUGGAGAUCGGGAUGACUGGGCGUCCUGGAUCGCCACUCUUGACCGGCAGAAGGUCAGUAGUAACUUCAGUGACGGGGUUACUCCAAUAGUUACCUGCAUCAAACAUCUCUACAAGAUUUGCAUAUUUUAAUCCUUCCAGUUGUGAUGGUAUACCGGGGUUAGUAGCAGGAACAGCAGCAGCUAUUUGAUUUAAUUGAGAUUCAAUCAUUUUAUUAAAGCUAAUUUGAUUCUUGAUGGCAGUAGAGAAAUUAUCCAUUCUAUUAUUUAUAUUUUCUAGCAUUUUAUUAUUAGAUGCCAAUUUCUUAGAUAGGUUAUCCAUUAGCUUUCCUUGAUUAGACACUAACUCUCUCAGAGGUGGAAAAUUAUUUUUAUUAUUAUUGUAAGAAUUGUUACCUUGAUAAUUACCUGAGUAGUUAGGCCUUUGUUGAUUCCAACCUUGAUUUUGUUGAGGACGGUUGUAGUAGUAGUAGUUGUUGUUGAUGAUGUAGUUCACAUCCUCAAGCAUCUCAGGGCAGUGAUUGCCUGAGUGUCCAGUAUCUCCACACUCCUCACAAGUCAUGUGAGAGUCGUAGAUGUGCAUAACUUUUUUCUUAUCUCCAGCUCUAUCAUCGAGCUUCUUCAUGAGCAGGUCUAGCUUUGCAGACAGCAUGUCUACCUCCUUGAGCUGAUGCAUACCUCCUCCUUUCUUGCGUGUCUGGGUUCUUUCUUCAUUCCAGCCUUGGUUGGACGCCAUCUUCUCCACAAGAGCUGUGGCUUGUGGUAUGGUGAGUGAUAGGAAUGCUCCUCCAGCUGCAGCAUCCAUGGUUUCUCGGGCACUGUUGCCGAGCCCAUGAUAAAACGUCUGCGUUAGUAGCCAGCUCUCCAUUCCAUGACGGGGACAUUCUAGGAUAUAGUCUUAGAAGCGCUUCCAUGGUUGUGGAACGGAUUCAUCAUGUUAUUGCUGAAAACUCGUAAUCUUUCCUUAGAGAGGAUUGGUCUUGCCCAUGGGAAAGAACUUAGCCAGAAAGUUCGUGGAGCAGAGUGCCCACGUAGUAUUCUUCUCCUUUGUAGCGUAGAACCACUGCUUCGCUCUCCCUAACAGUGAGAAUGGGAAGAGGCGAAGUAGUAUAGCAUCUCUGGGGACUCCUGAUAUGGUGAAUGUGCUGUUGGUCUUGCCCAUGGGGACUCCAGAAAGUGUUGGAGAUGAGCACUAGCAUCUUCGUGUGCUUCCCACAGAACUGGUUGGAUUGCACCAUGUUGAUAAGUCCAGGCUUGAGCUCAAAGUUACCAUCGAUCUCUGCAGUAGGUCCAGUGCGGAUGUUGUCCGUAGUGGGAGCUGAGAACUCACGGAUCGUUUUGUUCGCCAUGGGUUCGAACUCUAAAAAUAAGUUCCGGUGAUCUUCUUGAUUGGAUGAACCUUCUUGCUGAAGUGUUGAUGAUCUCUUCUUGAGCUUGGCUCUUGUUUUUCUGAAUAACACUUCGGGAUUGUCAACAAAAUUUUCUGGAAGAUGUCUUCUAUUCAUACAUUACCCUGCAUAAGAUAAAAUAGAAAAAUAUCAGGGUAAAACUGUAUGAGAGAAUUGAUAAGCUCAAUCAUAUUAGUGAUGCGAAUGAUGACUCUAAAUCCUAUAUUCAUUCCUGAUUAGUAAUCAACCUUCCCCGGCAACGGCGCCAAAAAUGCUUGUUGGACAUUCUUAACGUCACUACCAAAAGUAGACUUAGUUUUUUAAUUCUGAUAAUGGCGCCAAAAAUGCCAAACAUAUCCCUCAUGCCACUUAAGCCAAGUUGUCAUCCCCAGCAUGACAUGAGAGACGCGGUAUUGAAAUAUGCAAUUGCUCAUCUAAAUAAAUAAUAAAUGGGAUCUGCAAGCGCACAUAUUAACACCGAUGUAGCAUUUUAACCGGGAAGUAUUCCACGUAUCGUUAUUUAUAUUUUUACCACUGGGAAGGGAUUAGUAACCAUCAAUGUUGAUUAUAGAAUGUAAUAUAGAAUUGAGUAUCUAUCAUUGCAUGUAUAAUUGAGAACAUGUUGAUGCAAAACCUAGUCUGCAAACACAAAGGGCUAAUACCCGAUCCAAACGUUAAGGCGUGCCAGCCGAUUUGACCUUACUAUCGGCAAAGGUGGUAACUCGAAUACUUUAGUCCUGACAACAGCGAUGCGCCCGGAUGUCACGGCUAAGAGGUACUCACGCGGAACUGGAGGAUACGCCGAGCUUGAGUCGAUGAAUUCCUAAGAACUCGUAAUCAAAAAGAAAACGUAUGACGAAGUCGUCGAAAAGUAAAUGCUGGAAUAUGAGUAAAAACGUGUGUUUGAUUGAUUGAUAGAUGAUGUUGAUUACAAGGUCCUAGGGCUUAUAUUUAUACCCUGCUCAAAGAGCUACGACCAGACACGAUUAGAAUUCGAAUUCCAAAUUACACGGAACCCGUAUACAAAACGAUGCGAAUAACUAAGGAAAUAAUAAAACCAUCCUCCGUGACAAACCGAAAACUCCUCCACAUGACAACUGGCAGCUUCCGGACUCCUCCUUCGCAUCAUCGGCAAUCCCCUCGCCAUAGUCAUCGGCAGACCUUUUUACUUGGUCAUCGGCACCAUAUUACUGCCUGAGGACUUAGUCACAUUCAACCUUUCCCUCAUCGGCAACCAUCCUUAUCAGCAACCCGCAUCGUACUGCCACCCUAUUCUGCCAUCCUGGACACGUGCCCAAAAAUGGUGUCAACACAUGCCCCCCAGUUUCGGAGUAUAAAACUAUUAAUGCUCCGAAAUUCUCUGCAGUAAUGAUGUCUUCUCCGCAAUUAAUGCUCCUAAUCUGGUAACCGACAACCUCAAUCUGGACAACUCUGAUCCUAAUCCUCCGCAGAUCUCUCGAAAUCCCCAACUUCCUAAACGGGCAUCUCUUUUAGUCGUACAUCGGCAACAAUACCGUUACAAAGAUCUGCCGAUGCUCUGCCCAGGAGAUUCGCAAAAACGGUUACCUCCCCUCUAUCCGCCCAUCGGCAGGACGACCGUUAUAGAAUAUCACCGAUGGACCGACCAGGAGAUCGCGCACAGUAAAAUAUCUUUAGAUAAUGACCGCUUCCUGUCAAAUCACCUGCACAAUCCCUGGAUUAUCGUGCGAACAGUUACCAUAUCCACUUGAGUACCCUCGGGCCUCUCGGAUGCGGCAAAGAAAUAAGUCAGAUUUGCCCUUGUCCAUCUUGUCCUAUAAAUAGUUCCUUCUUGGGUACUCCUCCCCCAUUGCAUCAUUCCGCCAUCCAACUUCACUUUUCCAGCGGCGGCGCCAUUCUCAAUCCUCAAGAUCUCCGACAAGCAUUCUUCUUCAUCAACUCCGGCGCCCUCCAGCGUCCUCUUCACGACAAGAUGGCCGUUGGCUUCGUCGUCCCUGAGGUCAGACUUCCAUCUCAUCUGCUGUACCUUUUUCUUGCAUUCUUGUUCAUCUACGAUUCAUUCUCACCGAAUAUUUUCCUUUUCCUUUUUCUUCGCAUUUUUAUUCCCCAAAACACCAGGAGUUAUCCAACAAAAUUGUCAUCCCUACCGAUCAACCACAUCUUCAAUGCCUCGGCCCUCUAGGGGAUCCAGAUCCAACCGAUCUUAUCAAUGCAGAAACCAACAGGAUUCCCUUUAGAGCUGAAAACUUUGCUUUAGAUCUAUGGAAAGACACUUUUCGCUCUUGGCCCAGCCCUACUGUAGGGUGGAAAGACUGGUUCUUGAGGGUCAGCAACUCUUAUGAAGUUCAAUGGGGUGAGAGGAAAUUAGCUCAAUGCAUUAGGCUGUCCAUUGCCGAUAUGCACAGGAACGAGUCAUUGCUGAUAGCUGCAUCUUACUUUUGGUCAGACACCCUCAACGCUUUUGUUUUUGGCCACGGCCCUGCUUCUCCUACCCUUGCCGAUGUAGCCAUGCUUACUGGGUUAGAUAUAUCUUCUGCCGAUAGCACCCAUUUUUUUUGAUACCGCCCCCAGUGCCAAAGUGGAGACUCGCGCUAUCGGCGGUUGGUCAGGGUACAUCCAGAAGUACCGCGGGAGAGGACCUGUCACCAUAAAGGAGCAAACCACCUUUCUGAACAUGUGGCUAGACAAGUUUGUAUUCUGUGGUCGAUCGGCAGGACCGACUUCUGUCUAUCUAUCGGCAGCAGAAAGACUGGCUAGCGGCGGCCAAUUUCCUCUCGGCCGUUAUUUGCUCGGCGCUCUUUAUCACCUUCUUCAUCAGGUAGUCCAGAAACUCCUGCUUGGCCAACCUAUCGGCAACUUGGGAGGUCCUUGGUGGUUUAUUAAUAUGUGGCUCAAUCUGCACCUGCACAAGCGCCUUGAUCUCAACUUGUUCUCACAGCACUUCCCAAGAGAUAUAGCCGAGAAUCAUGUGCUGGGUGAAGAGGAAUCGGCAACACGUGCCCCCCUGAACUUUGGCGAAGCUGUUAUAGUCUUACCCGGUUCAGGGAACACUCCGGAUCAGAUCGGCCGAUUCUUCGAGACGCUGUAUGAAGGUCUGGCUAGAGAUGAACGACCAUGGCUGGCUUAUGACGACCCAGACAGCAUGCUCCCUCUGACCUUCAAUCCAUUUGAUGAAGCUAUUGACAGGGACAAUGAGGUGAUGAUGGCAAUCGUGACCCCCAGAGCCAUACCAGUGAAUUUCUUCGGCAGCACGAAAACCUCUCCCCAAACCUAUGAAUUUUAUAAUCCAUCGGCAUUAGCUCGCCAGCUAGCUUUCGGCCAAUUGCCGAUUGCACUUCCUUAUGCCGAUGUAAUAAAGCCCAGAGAGCCCAUCGCCAACCUCCUCGAGUGGACUCGAGUAGCCCAACUACUACCAAAUGCCGAUACGGAUGUAGACCUGUCAGAAUGGGUUCCAGCCGCCUUUAUCACUCAGGCAUACAAGCUAUGGUGGGCAGAAUGGAAAGAGAAUCUGUUCUGCAGAUCAGCCCUCUCAUACCGCGGCAUGAUCGACCCCGAAUAUGAAGUCCCUGAUGAUACUGUAAGUAUUUUAAACCGAUGUCUCAUUUUCCAAUAUCACUCCCAUCGGUAACUCACCCCUGUAUUCCUUUUGCAGAUUGACAACACCCCCCCAUCAGUUAGUAGGAGUGGCAAGCCGAUCGACUUAUUCCCAUCGGGCCCGAUCUCCUCAAUCGGCCAUAAUGCCCCCACUCUGGCUUCCAUCGUGCACAGGGGUGCGCGCCUCAAGAAAGUUACCACCAGGAAAACUCAGACAUCACCACCGGUAACUGCUUCCACUCUGGCACAAGCUUUCAAGGCAAUCUGUUAAAACCCUUUUUUCAUUUACGCUGACUUAUCUUUGUAUCGGCUAUCUGUACUUAUAAACUCCUUUUUGUUGUUGCAGCAAACUGGUGCAUCGGCAAAAGUCAAACGCCAAGGCGCCGAUGCUCCCCAGUCUAGCCAGCCAAAGAGGAAGGGCAUCCACGGUGCUAAGGCUGGAACAAAGCGCCAGAAAGUGGCAACUCCUCCUCCUCCUCCGGUGUUUCCAAUCCCUGUGGAAUCUUCCCCUUCUCCUCCAGACGUCCAGGCACAGCAAGUACUAUCUCCACAACCAACACAGGAAGCACCACAGAUGGAAGAACCCCAGCAGGAAGGACCUCAAACGGCAGUUAUAUCAGCUGAUGUAGGUGAACAAACAGCUGGCCCGGCAGGUGCAGUUACAUCAUCGGUGGUUUCCUCGAUUCAGGCAACUGUUGUUUCUCCUCCGGGUAACAUAUCUCAACAAUACUCCUACCUAUAAACUUAUUCUCAUUUAUUCUUAUAAUCUUUCCUGUCUUCUUUCAGGCGAUAUCGCUCUAUCGGCAACAUUUGCCGAUCAACCUGCAGCUCCAUCGGCCUCUCUGAGUCAAAGGCAAGAAAUCGCCUUGAAGCAAGUAAGUCAUCCACUUUUCCAUCAGUAUCGUCUGCCGAAGUCCUGACCAUAAAAUUGACCUACUUCAUUUUUAUUUUCAGGAACAAGAUUCUCCCAACAGCUUGUUCUCCUUCGCUAUUGAUAUCUUCGAAGAAGAAGGCGAGGAAGCAAGCUCCUCUCGGGCAGUUGGAAUUGUAUCGGCAGAAGCCAGAGCUAAGCUGGAGGAGCUAUCGGCCAUACUUCAUCAAGACACAACUCAACUGGUCAACGAUUCUGACCCAGCCAAAGCCCUGUUCAAGACCCUUAGAGGCCAAAUUCCUGCCGAUGCUGAAGAAACACUCUUCCAUGCUGCACAUCUAGAAAGCCGUCAGCUUCAGUACCAGAGAGCUACUCGACGCCUUGCCGAUAGAGCUGCUCAAAUCCAGCUUUCUGAGGAGAUGAUGAAAGAAAAACUCUUAGCCAAUGAGAAACAUAAGAACAUCGGCACCUUAAAAUCCUCAGGUGAUGCACUGAAGCAGAAAGUGUCUGAUCUAUCGGCAAAAAGAGAAGCUCUACUGGCUGAACUCAAGCAGGUAGAAGACGCUCUGUCCCAAGCUCAGCAAGAAGAGAGUCAGCUGCCGGAGACCAUCAAGCAUCUUGAACAAGAACGAAAUGUCCAUGGUCGCAAAGCGCUGCAACUGAAGAGGAAACUGAAGCCGAUCGAAGGUUCUGCCGAUGAUGAUAUCAAAGAGAUAGAGACAGCCAACCAAAUUCGGUUAACACAAUGCCGAUUCCUGCUCCCCGAUCACAGGUAGAUCCAUCAAAGAAGAGCGUCCAGGGUGCAAUUUCCAAGGUUUCCACUAGGCCGCAAUGUUGAGUCACCAAAUCGGCCAUAACCUGCCCUUUGACCGCCUUAGCCGAUUCGUAACGCAAAUCGAAUUCCGACAGCGCUAAAAUCCAUUUACCGAUCCUUCCACUCAUAAUCGGCAUAGAUAGCAUGUAUCGGACUACGUCAUCUUUGCAAAUAACAGCACAUUCGGCCGACAAUAGGUAAUGUCUUAGCUUGAUACAUGAAAAAUAUAAGCAUAAGCACAGCUUCUCGAUGGCCGAAUACCUGGCUUCAGCAUCAAUCAACCUCCUACUCAAAUAAUAAAUUACUCUCUCUUUCCCUUCAAACUCCUGAACCAAAGCUGAGCCGAUAACCGAUCCAUCGGUAGAUAAGUAUAAUUUGAAGGGUUUCCCUUGUUGAGGUGGAACUAAAACUGGAGGAUUUACUAGAUACUUUUUGAUUUCAUCUAGAGCCAACUGCUGUUCUUCUCCCCAAACAAACUCCUGAUCGGCUCUCAAUUUUAGAAGAGGACUGAAAGCACGAAUUCUCCCAGAUAAAUUCGAUAUAAAUCUUCUGAUAAAAUUCACUUUGCCGAUCAAAGAUUGGAGCUCGGUUUUAUUGGUAGGGGCCACUAUUUUAUUGAUGGCAUCAAUAGAUCUUCGACUAAUUUCAAUACCCCUCUGAUGUACCAUGAAACCAAGAAACUGUCCUGCCGAUACACCAAAUGCACACUUGUUGGGAUUCAUCUUCAAUCCAUGCUUCCUUGUGCACUCCAACACUCUUCGUAAAUCGGCAAGAUGCUUUGAGAAAUCUCCAGACUUGACCACCACAUCAUCAAUAUAAAUUUCUACGAUCUUGCCGAUGAACUCAUGAAAUAUAAAAUUCAUAGCCCUUUGAUAAGUAGCACCGGCAUUCCUUAACCCAAAAGUCAUGACUAUCCAUUCAAAUAGUCCAACAUGACCAGGACACCUGAAUGCGGUUUUUGGAAUAUCCUCUUCUGCCAUGAAUAUUUGAUUGUAACCCGCAUUACCAUCCAUGAAGCUGAUGACCCGAUGGCCAGCCGCAGCAUCAACCAGUAGAUCGGCGACAGGCAUUGGGUAUCCAUCCAUCGGCGUAGCUUUAUUGAGAUUCCUGAAAUCAAUGCACACCCGAAGCUUCCCGUUCUUCUUGUAAACCGGGACGACAUUGGAAAUCCAUUCGGCAUACCGACACUGCCGAAUAAACUUAGCUUCAAUAAGUUUAGUGAUUUCGGCCUUAAUAUCAGGUAGAAUGUUAGGAUUACAUCGGCGGGCUGGUUGCUGAUGUGGCCGAAAUCCAGACUUAAUGGGUAACCGAUGUUCAACAAUUGAUCGGUCUAAACCAGGCAUCUCUGUAUAAUCCCAAGCAAAGCAAUCUUUAUAUUCCUUUAACAAACUAGUUAAUUGCCGUUUACACUCAGGAUCUAGUUUAGCACUAAUAAAAGUAGGCCUAGGCUUAUCACCACUACCUAUAUCUACUUCUACCAAAUCAUCGGUCGAUGUGAAUCCCUGGCCUAAUUUUCCAUCAUCGGCGAAUCUAUCCAUUAAAAACCGUCGUCAGAACCGACUGCUUGGAUCGGUGGAAUCUCAUAAUCGGCAACUUUGAGAAAAUCUUUCUCCCAAACUUCUCCUGAAAUGCACCUAGUCUUUUCAUAAGUAUCCGCUUCUGCCGAUGCGAUAACAUAAGAAGAAUCCCCUGGGACGAUCUCAAUCUUGUCACCUACCCACUGAACCAAGCACUGAUGCAUUGUAGAUGGGACACAACAAUUGGCAUGAAUCCAAUCUCUCCCCAAUAAUAAAUUGUAGGCACCUUUUCCGCUGAUCACGAAAAAGGUUGUCGGCAAGGUUUUGCUGCCGAUGGUCAACUCCGCACAUAUCGCCCCCUUGACCGGAGACACGUUUCCCUCAAAGUCUUUGAGCAUCAUAUCGGUCUUGGUCAAAUCUUGAUCCCCUUUCCCAAGCUUCCGAUAUACUGCAUACGGCAUAAUAUUAAUAGCAGCCCCACCAUCAACUAGGAUCUUAGUCAUUGGCUGCCCAUCAACCCUUCCUUUGAGGAACAAAGCUUUAAGAUGCUGCCUCUCGUUAUCGGCAGGUUUCUCAAAGAUAGUCGUCAUUGGAUCCAGAGCCAACUGAGCUAUCUGAUCAGAAAAUCCCAACUCAUCGUCACUGGCUGGUGCAAGAAACUCCAUCGGCAACAUGAAUACCAUGUUGACGCCUGCCGAUGGACCUUCCUUCUUAGCGUCUGCCGGCUGCCGACUUUCAGAACUCUCUCCUUUAUUUAACUCCUCUUGCCUUUCUCGUUGCAACCUCCUUUUCUGUGUCUUGGUUAAUCCUUGAGGGCACCAUGGAGGAAGUGGCCUUUGCCUUACUGCCGGGCGUCGGUUCUCCCUUGACUCCGUACGAUGUGUGUUAGCAUCUCUGCAAAAUAUGAACUCAUCGAGAACCCGCGCAUUAGCCAUUUCCUCAAGCUCUUCCUGGUUCCUGGGAAAAUACUGGACACGGUCACCGAGCCGAUCGCGAACACUAAGCCUGCCCCCCAGCCGAUCAUGAACUGACGCCCUUCCUCUGAUUGGCCCAUUAAAUCACCGUUCAUCAUCAUGAUAACGCCGAUCGUUCCUAUCGUACCGAUCAUAACCGUUACAUUCAGGGCAGUCUCUGACAGUAGGAAGCUUGAUAUUUUCCUCCCAACAAUGGAUGAAGAAUGGGCAAUUCCAAUGAUCCCUGUGCCGAUUCCACUCCUGUCGGCGUCUUUCUUCUUCCCGUUGAUAAUCUUCCUGCUGGCGCCGAUAUCGAUCUUCCCGUUGUUGCCAUCUCUCUCGAGGCCUUCUAUGAGUUAUGACAAUACCAGACCGAGGAAGUCUUCCUGAGCUAGCUCCUUCCUGGACCAAGCCCUUACUUCUUGCAUCGGCGGUAGUAACUUGAUGCUGAGGAUCUACCGAUGCACUCUUCUCAGCUGUCUCCGACGUUAAGACCUUAGCCUUCCCCUUAGCGUCCAACAUGUUUGUCGGGAAAGGAUGUUGGUCUAUCUUCAUCGGCUUCUGGGCUUUAGAACUAUCAAACUUGAUUCUCCCCGACUCUAUAGCCGAUUGCAGCUGUUGUCUGAAUACUUUGCACUCGUUGGUGUCAUGUGAAGUUGCAUUAUGCCACUUGCAAUAUCUCAUCCUCUUCAACUCUUCUGCCGACGGGAUCACAUGGUUAGGUGACAGUUUGAUUUGACCUUCCUGAAGUAGAAAGUCAAAUAUCCUAUCGGCCUUGGCGGUGUCAAAGGCAAACUUCUCUGGUUCUUUCUGCCCAAAAGGACAAGACAUCGGCUUCUUGUUUUUUACCCACUCUGCCAAACCGAUUACUGGUUCCUCGUCGGAAUCUGAGCUUGUUGCUUCGUCAACAAAUGACACUUUCUUAUUCCAUGCCCUCUUAGGUUCGAAAGGCUUGAUGUCUUGAUCAGAUAUCCUCUGCACCAAAUGACUUAAACUCUCGAACUCUUGAGAUGCAUACUUAUCCCUGAUAUGUGGCAACAAACCCUGGAAAGCCAAAUCGGCUAGCUGCCGAUCAUCCAGAACCAGGCUAUAGCAUUUAUUCUUGACCUCUCGUAUCCUCUGCACAAAUCCCUCAACCGACUCAUCAUUACGUUGCCUCAACUUAACCAAGUCGGUAAUUUUCUUCUCAUGAACCCCCGAGAAGAAGUAUCUGUGGAAUUGCUUCUCUAGAUCGGCCCAAGUAAUUACUGAGUUGGGAGGUAACGAUAUGAACCAAGUAAAGGCCGAUCCAGACAGAGAUGACGAAAAUAGACGAACCCUUAAUUCGUCCCUGUUGCCAGCCUCUCCACAUUGAAUAAUGAACCUGUUGACAUGCUCCAUGGUUGACGUGUCGUCCUGUCCGGAAAACUUUGUAAAAUCUGGUACCUUGUACCGAUGUGGAAGCGGGAUCAAAUCAUACGCUGGAGGAUACGGUGUCCGAUAAGAAUAAGUGUUGACUUUGGGUUUUAUCCCAAAUUGUUCCCUCAUUACUUCAGCAAUCUUAUCGGCCCAAUAAGCAUCGGCAUCUUGCCGAUGAGGCGGCUGUGGAUCCGGCACUUGGUGGCGAACCUCCACGUGUCUGUUUGGGACGUGACCUGUAUGGAACAUCGUAUUGGUCACCUGUCCUCCAAUCUGCGGACUACCAAACUGCUGUCCACCGAUUGGCUGUCCUCCGAGUUGCUGUCCAAAAUUUAUUGGCUGGUUGGGAAUUCCCUGACCUUGGAACCCGGGAUAAACCUGCCCUUGCUGGAACCCCGUAGUCUGAUAACCCUGCUGGGGCGACUGUGGAAAGGCUUGCUGUCCAAGCCAUCCAUUAUUAGCGUUCAUCGGCAUGGGUGCUGCCGAUGAUUGGUAAUUGGGUAUCGUCGUUGAAUUGACAUACCCUGGCUGGGCCAUAGGCCUCUGUUGCAUCAGCAUUGACUCUGCCGAUGCGUUGGGCAUCUGGAACAUUGAAUCUUGAGGAUUUCCAGUGUGAGGCCUUGCAGUAGUGGUUGUGGUAUACCGAGGACUCUGGUUCACCGGCACAUUGGAAGGUGCCGAUGUCAUAGGAGUUUUGCCCCUCAUGUCAGUUAUUUGUGAUGUUCCUGGCGUCAACUCUGGAGGCAUACCAUAACCCCACCAGUUGGGAGGAAGAGUUAACCCCGACAUUGCCGAUGCCAACAUAUCUGUUGUCAGUUUAUGCUGCCCGACUGAAAUUUGUGGGUUGGUUGCCAUCGGCAUAGAUAGUGCACCAGUAGUCCCCAAUGUACUUGGAGGGACGGCAGACUGUACACUUGCACUCGUCAAGACAGCCGAUGGAGCCGUGACUUCUGGUGCCGUGGGCUGAUGAUGGGAAGGGCCCACAUAAUCCGGCGGGAUUUGUCCUUCCUUGAAGGUUCUUGCCACGGCGUUGAAAACCGUAUUAGACAGUACACCAGCUUGGUUGAUCAGCGCUCGAUUGAUAGCAUUGUCAACCAUGUCUUGAAGCUUGCCAGGAUUGGCGUCAAAAGUGACCUGCCGUGGUGCCGGCAGUGCAUCUUUCUGGACCACUUCGCCGCUCCUGUUUAUGCUAAAAGACUUCAGGCAUUGCUGCUUGAACUCUUCCAUGGCUUGGGCAAUAGCUUGCUUCUGCUCAUCCUUGAGGUUGGCUUCCGUCACGGGGAUGACGUUGUCUUGAUCGAGGUCAGAGAUCGACAUGCUGAUCUUGAUCUUGAAUCUGUCCCACUGGGCGUGCCAAAAGAUGUGUUGAUGCAAAACCUAGUCUGCAAACACAAAGGGCUAAUACCCGAUCCAAACGUUAAGGCGUGCCAGCCGAUUUGACCUUACUAUCGGCAAAGGUGGUAACUCGAAUACUUUAGUCCUGACAACAGCGAUGCGCCCGGAUGUCACGGCUAAGAGGUACUCACGCGGAACUUGAGGAUACGCCGAGCUUGAGUCGACGAAUUCCUAAGAACUCGUAAUCAAAAAGAAAACGUAUGACGAAGUCGUCGAAAAGUAAAUGCUGGAAUAUGAGUAAAAACGUGUGUUUGAUUGAUUGAUAGAUGAUGUUGAUUACAAGGUCCUAGGGCUUAUAUUUAUACCCUGCUUAAAGAGCUACGACCAGACACGAUUAGAAUUCGAAUUCCAAAUUACACGGAACCCGUAUACAAAACGAUGCGAAUAACUAAGGAAAUAAUAAAACCAUCCUCCGUGACAAACCGAAAACUCCUCCACAUGACAACUGGCAGCUUCCGGACUCCUCCUUCGCAUCAUCGGCAAUCCCCUCGCCAUAGUCAUCGGCAGACCUUUUUACUUGGUCAUCGGCACCAUAUUACUGCCUGAGGACUUAGUCACAUUCAACCUUUCCCUCAUCGGCAACCAUCCUUAUCAGCAACCCGCAUCGUACUGCCACCCUAUUCUGCCAUCCUGGACACGUGCCCAAAAAUGGUGUCAACAGAACAUUUAUCUAACUCUUUCAUACAGGGAUAAGUGUCACAUAAAGGAUAUAUAAAGUAAUGAAUGGUGACAAAGAUAAUUAAUCUGAUCAGCAUAACUUAGCCACAUAAUAAAUAUGAUAAGCACCUCAAUUUUAUAUUGUAGAAAGUCAUUAGCAUGGAAUUAGGAAGAACUACAAGAAUAUUUCCUAAGUUAUUCUUAACUAUAUAGUCUAGCAUAUCAUAGUUAGUGCAAUUAUACUUAGCAAUCAUUGUGAGACAAGAUUAUGCCCAUGCAUAGUGAUAUUAUCAAGGAAUAUGAGAAACAUAGCAAUCACUCCCCUGUAAUAAUGUUGCUCUACCAACCCAAUACACGAGAGGGGGACUAUAUAAGAAUCAAUGGAGCUGUCACUACCACGAACUACCCCGCGAUCUGGCAUAUAGGGUACAAUCGCAGAUAAAUACGAUAUAAGCACCACGCCUACACAAUAUCUAUCAUUUACCCAUGGAUCCGAUGGAUAAACGCUAUACGAUCCUAAACAUGUAUAUAAUUCCAAUCUAACUAAGCCAAGUAUAUAACUAUGAUAAACUAAGAACAAUAUAAUUGCGAAUAUAAACAAGUAGAGCAAAGUCAUAAUCAAUAUAUUGAAGUAGAACAAAGUCAUAUUCAUAAUAUCGAAGAACAAAGAUGAACAAUUGAAGAACAAUAGAGAAUUACCAAGAAUCCUCUUGACAGAUCCGGAAACCAAUCGAAGAUUGACUCCUUCUAGUUCUAAUCCUAUGUAGCUAUGCUAAUCUAGAUAUCUAAUUGAUGUGGUGGCUCUAGGCUUGAUCAGAGGCUUCUUCUCCCUUGAUGAAUAAUGAAUUAGGGUUGAGAGGUCCUCUCCUCCAGGGGCCAGGGGGUCUAGUUUUAUAGUCCUUCCAAGUGAAUAUGGGCCGUCGGAUCAAACCGACAUUGAUUGAACUGUUAUCCUUGAUCCUUUAGGUCGAUGGAGCGUAAUCCCGAAAGAGAGUCCUGAUUGGACUCCAGAGGGGGGCGGGCGCCCUGGUCCCUAGGGCGGGCGCCCUGGGCCAGGCCCCGUUCUACCUCCGCUUCGUUCCCGUGACUUCUGGAGUCUUCUAGAUGUAAGAUAAUUACGCGGCACGUUAAUAUCUCUAUGUAAUCCCGACGUGUGGGCCUUUCUUCCGUAUUUCCCGAUAACCCCCUGCAGAAAUAGACAAACACCAAAACUCGUGGAAUUCUGUCAGAUAAAACCCUAAGUGUGGAUGUUGAUUGCAUUUGGAUCCUUUUCUUUGUUUAUUUAAUAGUUAAAUUUGAUACUUAAGGACCGUCAACAGCCAUCGUCACCACCUGAGGCACCUGCUAGAGCUCCACCAACAUUCUUGCAACGUGCCAUUGCAAGAUCUCAAGUCAAGACUGCCAAACUACUUACAGAUAGAUGAUGAACUAACACUUUUGAGGCUUGGCCUCAAUCUGUACUCGCGGUCGCAGACUUGGCCCCAAGUUCAACUGCCACUAACAACCGAUCCCAAUGCGACUCACCCGCUGCAAUAGAUGGAAUAGAUGAGAUAUAUAUAAGCAAUUAUUACAUCUAGAUAAGUGAAACCCUAAUAGAAGAAAGCAUAGGAUAAGAGAUCAAGAAAGAGUUGGCUUACUGAAGGGUCGAGAUGGCGGACUAGAGGGGGGGUGAAUAGUCCUUUCUAAAACUUAUCGCACCGGCUAACCGAAACAAAUGCGGAAUUAAAACUAUCGGUCUAGCCAAGACUACACCCCUCUAUCUAAGUUCUCUAGCACCUUUAAAAGAUCCUAAACAAGCAAACAAGGUGCUACCUUAGCAAGAGCUCAUCUAACCAAUUCCAGGAGUAAGGUCACACAAACCUAGGCCAGUAGUACUUUGCAAACCGGGGAGCUCCUACACAACUAGUAAGCAAAAGCACAAAGCUCCUAAGCUCACUAGCAAUGCUCAAUAACAAGGCAACCAAUGCCAAAUUAGAGAGCGCAAGUUACUUAGCUACACAAACUAAGCAAUAUGACUAACAAGGUUACACAAACCAAAUUAGUCACGCAAAGGGACUACUUCUAGCUACACAAGCAAGAAGGUAACUAGCAAGCUACACAAGCUAACUAAUAACAAGAGCAACUACACAAGCACAAAUAAAUGAAUGUAAAAACAAGCUUGUGUUAGGGACUUGCAAACCAACGGGAAGAACAAAGUUGACACGAUGAUUUUCUCCCGAGGUUCACUUGGUUGCCACCAAGCUACGUCUCCGUUGUGUCGACCAACACUUGGUGGUUCGGCGGCUAAGAGGUGUUACACGAACUUCGUCCCCACUAGGACACCGCAAGAACCUACCCACAAGUGAGGUAGCUCAAUGACACACACGAUCCAAUAAAGUUGCUCUUCGCGAUCCCCGCGGGGUGAGCACCGUACCCCUCACAAUCUCUUCUCUAGAGCACCGCACAAUCUCCUUACAUGCUUCGACGGAGUCACAAGCCACCAAGUCGUCUAGGAGGUGGAAACCUCUAAGAGUAACAAGCACCACUAGCUUGCAACACGAACACCUAGUGCCACUCGAUGCAAUCUCUCAAUGCAAUGCACUAGAAUCACUCACUCACACAAUCGGAUGAUCACUAUCAAGCAUAUGUGAGUUAGAGGCUUUACUAGCACUCUCCAAGCAUGGACACUAAGUCCCAAGGGUGCUCAGCACUAGCCAAGGCCGGCCACCACUUCUAUUUAUAGCUCCAAGGGCUAAACUAGCCGUUACCCUUCACUGGGCAAAAGUCGACCACACCGGAAGCGUCCGGUAUUGACUAGACCAGCGUCCGGUGCUUCUGACCGGUAGAAAACUAGUCGUUGCCUUCAACGCUGACAAGGCAUCAGACUCUCUCUUUUGAAUGCACCGGACGAUCUCAAGAGGGACCAGACAAAAACACAGAGAGCUUCGCAAAGCAACACAGCACCGGACGCACAACUCGGACGCGUCCGGUGUGCACCGGUCCUAAACUUAGAGAGCUCUGAAAAAGAGUUUGCACCGGACGCUAACUCGGACGCGUCCGGUGUCACAUCGGACGCGUUCAGUGUUCACCAGACGCAAACUCAGAGAGCUACUCGAGAUAGCGUCUUCUCCGGACGAUUUACACCGGACUCAACACAGAGAGUCCGGUAAAAUUGAGCUCACACCGGAUGCUAAACUCGGACACGUCUGACCUCAUACCGGACGCAUCCGGCCUCACAUUGGACGUGUUCGGCCUAUACGCGCUGCACGAAACGAUCUUCAACUUCUUCCCUUGCUUCCAUGUGCCAACACCAAAGUGUCACAACACUUGUGCAAGUGUGUUAGCAUUUUCACAAAUAUUUUUCCAAGGGAGUUAGCCUUUCAAACUUGCCACGCCACUCGAUCCUAACACGUAUGCAAAGUUAGAUCGCUCAAGUGGCACUAGAUGACCGAUAUGCAAACAAUUUUGCCCCUCUUGAUAGUACGGCCAUCUAUCCUAAAUCCGGUCAUCAUCUUCUCUACACACCUAUGACCGGUGAAAUAGAAAAGCCCUAGGUUAUACCUUUGCCUUGCGCUUUCCAUUCCAACUCCUCCAAUGUUGAUGCAACACAUGCAUAAACCAAUCACCAAAUGAUAUGAUCCACUUCAUAUCAUCACGUGACCGUAUUGGUUCAUUGAUCUUGACCUCACUUGCUCUUCACUGUUGCCUCAGUCCAUUAGCGCCAAAUUUUGCUCAAGCUUCACCGUCACAUGCGGUCCCUCGCUUCAAAGCCUCCGACUUGCCCUUCACUCUUGCAACCGGUCCAUCGAGCUAAGCCUCAUCUUGAUCUUCUCCACCUUGGUCACAUGACUCCAUGUCAUGUCUCAUAUGCAAUGAGCUCCUCCAUCAUCACAUCAUCACCUGUGGACUAAUCUCUUGUGUAUCUCACAUAAACACUAUUAGUCCACCUAAGUUGUCACUUAAUUACCAAAACCAAACAAGGACCUUUCACUUACUACCUUAGUUGAGAGACAAUCCUUGUGAAAAGAGGAGAUACGACGUCAACAGGGCACAAGAAGUUUCAUGCCAAGUCACUGCAAACAAGAAUCGAAUGAAAACAGUGUUAAAACGACGUUCUAAAUGGUUCGAGAACUCUAUCGAACACCUAGCGUGCGUGGAACUCAAGAUUUUACCCUAAACCCUAACUGUGGCGUGAAAGGAGGUGCCUUGCUGUGCGUGCAUGGAGAAGGACUCGACGACGGUGGAGGAGGAAGGACACACGCGUGAGGAGGACUAGCCGAACGGCGGCGUGGUGCUGGCGGCGGCGGAUCGACGCAGAGGGUACGACGAGUCAUGGUGAGAAGAUCGCGAAGGACAGACUGACCCAAUGGUUGGUUUUAUCUGAACUUAUAUCAACCCUCGCAGACACACCAGACAUGCUUAAGUGAGCACCGGACUUGUACGUAGGGAGGAGGUUUUUCGCGCAAGGUCACCGGACACGGUCCACCAGACGCUCUCCUGUGUCCGAUGUCGCGGGCGCUUCUAUAGAGGCACACCGGAAGCACAUCACUGAACUCACUCACAUUACUAUGCAUGGGUCUAGUGUGUACACCCCAGCAAGUAACACUCACCAAACGCACAGAGCGUGUCCGAUGCUGCGUCCGGUGCAUCACCGACUUCAAAUUUUCAACGAGACUUCGCGGCACCUUCACUCAACCAAGUUCCAACUCAAAGAAGAGCCAAAUAAACACCAAUUGGAACUGUUAUGAGUGUUCUCUCUCAAACUCCCAAAUUUUCACAAGUAAUUUGUCAUAGGCUAUGUAGUUUUUAAGAAAAUAGGCGAGAGAAAACACCGAUGAGACAUCAUGUGGCCAUUGGCUAGGGGACUUAACCAAGAUGAGCGUAGAAUGCUCCCCAUAUCAAUGGACGAACACAACAGAUGCUCAAUGCUUAAUCGAAAAGAAAUGACAAAGCAAAAACCAUGCAUAUGCUAUGCAAUGCAAUGCAAUGCAAUACUUGAAAGUAAACUAAUGCUUGUCAAGUUUGAUUCAAGGUUAAGCUUUUUGACACGCUUUAUGGGUGGUUAUCUUAACCAUGUUAGACAAGCCCUACAUGCAUCCUUUUUGGAUUUUUAGUAAAGCAUGACAUAUGAUACAAAUGCUAUGUACAAGGACAACACACAAACUCAUUUUUAAUGAAGUUAGAGAGAUCAAGCACAUUGAGUUCAUUUCACAACAUACAAAACCUAGCUUCAUCUAGUGGUUUUGUAAAGAUAUCCACCAAUUGAUCAUCUGUCCCCACAUUCUCUAGUGAUAUGUCACCCUUGGCAACAUGAUCUCUAAGGAAGUGAUGACAGAUGUCUAUGUGUUUAGUGCGGGUGUGUUGAACCGGGUUGUUUGCAAGUUUUACAGCACUUUCAUUGUCACACAACAAAGGUACUUUGUCUAAAACUACUCUAUAGUCUAGUAAAGUUUGUUUCAUAUAAAGAAUUUGUGCACAACAAGCACCGGUGGCAAUGUAUUCCGCUUUGGCCGUUGAUAAAGCAACACUAUUUUGUUUCUUUGACAUCCAAGAUACUAGUGAUCUCCCUAAGAAGUGGCACCCUCUAGAUGUGCUCUUUCUAUCAAUGCGGCACCCGAUAUAAUCCGAGUCAGAAUAGCCUACAAGUUGGAUUAUUGCACCUUUGGGACACCACAAGCCUAGGUAGGAUGUGUAUUUUAGAUACGUAAGAAUUCUCUUAACCACAAUCAAGUGAGAUUCCAUAGGCAUAGCUUAAAAUCUAGCACACAUACACAUACUAAACAUGAUAUCGGGCCUAGUUGCGGUGAGGUAAAGUAAACUAUCUAUCAUAGAACGAUAGAGAGUUUUGUCAAUCGUGUUACCUCCCUCAUCUAUAUCGAGAUGCUGUCGACGAAAGCUGGUCGGCAGUCUACCUUGGGGUAUACCCACGGUAGUAGUUUAUCGGUAGACGGUGCGCAAACUACGAACUCGAUGGUGACGCAAGACACGGACAAGCUUUUUAUCCAGGUUCGGCCGCCGAGUUGGCGUAAUACCUACGUCCUGCGUCUGGUUGUAUUGGAUUGUGUUGAGAGAUAAUCUGUCCUAGGGGGGUCCCUUGCCCCUCCUUAUAUAGUCUGGAGGGCAGGGUUACAGAUCUAGAAACUAAUCCUAGCCGGUUACAAUUGCCAUAGAUAAUUCGAUAUCAAUUCCUAUUCUAACCGACUAGAAUCCUGCUUGAUCUCCACGUCUUGUUUCCUUGCGCGAAACUCGGGCUGUCGGAUCAAGCCUUGAACUCGUCUCGUAGUGGGCCAAGCUUCCUGGCUGAAGUCUAGCCGUAAGGGUAUAGGGGUUUAUACCCCCACAGCUAGUCCCCGAGCGCCAUGUAUUGUGAUGCAACACGCCGUCUUGAGCUUCUUCGAUCAGCGUGGCCUGUCGUCUUCAAUGAGCGAGGAAAUCGCCCAAACGGUUCAUUGAUCAACGUUGUCAUCGAAGAAGCAGGUUGUUCGAAGAAUGCAUGGUGCUCUAAAAAAAUUUCUUUCCUGGUGAAGUGUGCCCACUUUGCCCUUCUUGAAAGGCUGCAGCAUCCAAAAAAGGCAAGCAAAUUCACCGCCAGGUGAAGUGUGCCCACUUAGUCCCCGAGCCUGGUAGUAGGUGACGUAGGCACGUGGUGCCAGGGUCAAGAGAAAAUUCCCCAAAGUAGUUUUGAGACUGAGAUGCAUCGCUAGAUGCAUCGUACCGAUGUAGUCCCCGAGCUUGCUGGAAGGCGAAGUAUGAGCCUUGUAGCAAGGUCUAAAAAAUUGAAUUUAACAGUCCCCGAGCAUGUCAUGCUCAUCUGCAAUCGAAAAGACCAAUCGACCAGUCCCCAGGCACUUAGUGCGCUGCCUGGAAUUAUAUGUUUCUAUACUACACGACCAGUCCCCGAGCGUCGAGUGCUCGGUGGUCGGUGCAUGCUUUAAAGCUUUGAGCUGAUAGACUGAGCGACCCGUCCCCGUGCGUCGAGUGCUCGGUGGUCGGUGCAGUCCUUGAGGUUCCGAGCUGAUGGACUGGGCGACCAGUCCCCGAGCGUUGAGUGCUCGGUGGUCGGUGCAGUCCUUGAAGUUCCGAGCUGGUUGACUGGGCGACCAGUCCCCGAGCGUCGAGUGCUCGGUGGUCGGUGCAGUCUUUGAAAUUCCGAGCUGGUUGACUGGGCGACCAGUCCCCGAGCGUCGAGUGCUCGGUGGUCGGUGCAGUCUUUGAAAUUCCGAGCUGGUUGACUGGGCGACCAGUCCCCGAGCGUUGAGUGCUCGGUGGUCGGUGCAGUCCCCGGACUGCUUACUCACUGGCGUAUGUGUCUUCUUACUUUUGAAAAAAUCUUUCUCAUUAAAGUUGACAUGACGGGGUCUCCUGACGAUAUGUCAGACGGAUGCAUAAAAAGCCGCACCUGGCAACUGUACAACCGCUCUUUGCAUGGUUUGAGAAAAGGAAACCAUCAAUUGGUACGAAAACUCCGCCGCAUUAAUUGCCUAUAAUCAUUGUAAACCGAAACGCCGCGUCCGCCGCAUGGCCUGCCCACUUCCCGAGAAUACAGGAAGUGGGAGAGGUGGGGUCGCGGGUUUAUAAGGGCCUAAUAGGACCGCCUGUACCGCUUCUCCUGCCAUUGCCUUCAAGUCUUCCGCUCUCAUCUUCUCCAAUCUCCUGCAUUUUCCUAGCUCCAGCUCACAUUCGCACCUCUAAUGGCGAAGAGCGAUUCCAGGAAGAGGGCCGAGUUGAUGGCCAAGGAGUGGAAAAAGUCUCGCAGCACCACAAAGUCUCUUGGCGACCUCGUCGACAUGGGGCUUCUGCACGGCGCAGAGCUCGGCGGCUGGAGGGCGCCGGAAGGGGAGAGCUACCCCGACCCUCGCGCCGGUGAGAUCGUCGCUUUUGAGGAUUUCGUCAAGAGAGGCUUUGGUGUUCCUGUUCAUCCCUUUCUUCAAGGUCUUCUUUUGUACUAUGAGAUCGGGAUUUGCAAUCUGCACCCGAACUCGAUUCUCCUUAUUUCCACUUUCAUCCAUCUGUGCGAGGCCUAUGUUGGCAUAGAGCCGCACUUUGAUCUUUUCCGGUACCUUUUCUGUCUGAGGAAGAAGGGAGCAGUUGGAGGCUCCAAGGUUGCAGGUGGAGUAUACCUCAACCUUCGUGAUGGGAUGAAGAAUCGCUACCUGCACUGCCCAUGGAACACCUCCUUGACCGAAUGGUACAGGAAGUGGUUCUACGUCAGGGAGGAACCGGGCAGCUCCACGUUCUGCGACGUGGGGUACGUUCCCGAGAAGAGGGCGAGCUGGACUGACCGCCCAGAGUUCGACGGUCAAGUGGCGGAUCUGAUGAAGCUGAUCGACUGGUCGCGCCUGGAUGGGCUUAGCGUGGUCGGCAACUUCAUUUGCCGCCGAGUGAUGCCCUGCCAGAAGAGGGUGCACUCGGCGUAUGAGUAUGCCGGAAGCACAGACCCGACCAGGAUGCGGUCGGAGAUCCUGGAGAAGGCGGAGGUUCAACAGCUGCUGAACGAGCUGUUUAACUUCGCGGAUGGGGGCUUCACCCGUAGCAGUGAUCGGGUGCAAGCCUUCAAGUUAGGACGACCAGCACCAAAGGUAUGUAGCAGACUCCGUUUGAUCAUUCGUAUGUCGUCUGUAGUUGGCUCAUCUCUGUUACUUUUGCAGGUCGGUGAUGUCGACCGGUGCAUAGUGUUCGUAUCACUGGCACCGGGGAUGGAAGAUCCUGUGGGAGAGGUCCCGCCAGAGGAAGACCGAGCCCGCCCCGUCCCGACCUCCGAGGAGAGGGUGGCGGGGAAAAGGCCAUUGCCGGUGGAUCCCCUGCCGACGCCGGAGCUGCCGGCAGACCUACCGGCGGAGAGCAGCCAAGCGCCGAAGCGUCGUCGGCUCGUGCGGAUCGUCGUCGACGACGACGACGACGAGGAGGCUGCGCCGUCGUUGGUCCGACGGCCUCGGGGCCACCCAGACGCUGCACCGGUCACCACUGAUCGAGUGGCCAGCGGCGCAGCUGCCCCGCAAGUUGCCGAGGUGGGGGCACGGGCGCCGACCGGCCGAGCGAGGAGGAGGUUCACCGCGACCCAUCGGCGGUCGGACCUGUAAGUGUUCAACUUACGUAUUUUGGAUUUUUUUUUUUUAACUUUUGUUCCUGUAGUGCGGCGUCGGAUGUCGACCCUGGCCAAACUGCCGGCCAGGGAACGGGCGAGCCUGCCCGCGGUUCUGGGGAUGCGGCCCCCCAGACCACAGAACAGCCGACUGCUGCAGUCGCGCCUGGGAGCGCCGAGGAGCUCCCGAGCGCGGCGCCGACUACAACAAGCAGCCCGACCAGGGCUGGGGAGGCUCCCCCAACUGACUCCUCGGAGAAGGGAAGGUCUCCGACCGCUCCUCCUGCCGGGGGGAGUGAAGUCCCCCCGCCGCCCCGAGCAGGAACCUCUCCGGCUGCGGGCUCCCCAGGUCUGGUCCCAGGGACGGUGACGCCUGGGACCACCACCGGGGGUGACGCAGCCCAGGAGGAGGAAACCAGGGUGGCCUCCGACGACGAGGUAGAAGAGAUCGAGGGUCGUCCCCGUGAUGGCCGCCAACACGUGUAUGUGUGGCGCCAACGCGGGGAUCACUUUAUCGGUCAUGAGGAGCUUGCCGAGUCCGAAGAGGCCGCCAGGGUGGAGCGCGCGGCCAAGCGCCUUGUCGACGAAGUCAAGGUAAGCGGCGUUUUGAGCUGCCGCGCAUUCCUUUGCCUUGUCUUUUGCGCAUUGUUAUAUGCUUGCUUUGUAGGACGUUAUGAAAACGGCGAAGUACCGGAAACGGUGCUUUGACCAGAUAGAAGGCGUCAUGGCCGAGAACAAGGCCCUUGCCGCGGAGGUAGACCGGUUGCGGGCGGAGGUCGGAGAGAAGGUGGUCGAGAUGAGCACCGAAAAGGAGCGUCGUCUCGACCUCGCUCGUCGCCUGGCCGACCAGUACCGGCUGCAGGAAGGUUAGUCACACGCUCCGAGCAGUUUCGCAUACUUGCAUAGUUUGCUUCGCUGACCAGUUUAGGAUUCACGCAGACUUGGAGGAGGAGGUGGCGAGCCUCCAACAAGAGAAAGAGCAGCUCGGCCAACAGCUCUCCAGUGCACAGGAGUCCGGACGGCGAGCGGAAGAGGAAUUAAGUCGAAAAGAUCGGGAGUUAGCUGGUAAUGGGUGCCGCCUUGUUGGUUGCUACCUGCCCCUUUGCUUGUCUGGUAUGCCGAAAGUAACGUUUCGUUUUGUUUGCAGUGCUCAAGGUGAACACCAAAAAACACCUGGAUGAGCUGGUCAAGGACCGGGACUCCUGGAAGGUCAACUGUUGCAGGAUCUGGAAUGGAGUGUCCCCGGUCCUGGACCUGAUCAGUCCCGAGCUCCCGGAGAGCCAGCCCCGCGCGCCGCAGUUGACCCCGGUCCAAAAGGCGCAACGGGCGUGGGACUGGCUCCAGCAGUUUGUGAAGGACGCCGGGGAGUUUGCCGGCGCGCACGUCCUUAGCAUGGUACGCGCCCACUACCCCCUGGUCGACUUGAGCAGGCUGGAGAAGGGGUACCCGAAGGAAGUCGGCCCACAGGAAGCGGACGAACUUCGGGGUAGUCUGCUGGACUUGUCAUCGACAGUGAUCGGCGACAUCAACCUGUGCGGAACAGCCACUCCUCCAGACCAGCCGAGCUCAGAUAGGUCGGCCAGGGAGUUGUCGGGCGCGUCCUUUGCUGGAGAUGGGCGGUCGACGCCUGCGGUCUCGACCAGCCAGGCGCCGGUGGCCCCGACCCCUUCGUCCGGGCAGCAGGGCCAGGCGGGUGAUCAGCCCGAGCAGCUAGGCCAAUAAAGUAGUCUGUAGGAAUAGACUAGUAUCUGCCCGUCAGGGUAUUUAUUGUAAACUUUGUAUGUAAAGUUUGUAAUAAAGUUUUCUUUUUGUCAUGAGUGUUGUUUUGAGCGCUGUAAAAAUAUCUGAGUGACGUGUCACCGUAUUUGUCUUGGUUGUCGCCAAGAGCAUCCAUUGCAGGAGUUUUGCCGAGUGCUGUGUAUGACAAGGUACAGAGAAUUUUAUUGUCAAAAAUUAUAAGAUACUUACAAAAGAAAGUCGUUAAAACUUUAUGGAUAGAAACGUCGCAGUUUGUCGAUGUGCCAAGAGUUAGGUACUCGUGUUCCGUCUGGGUAUGCCAAUCUGUAGGACGUAGGUCGUGUGACCUCGGUCACCACGAAGGGUCCUUCCCAGGGAGUAGAUAACUUGUGCAUUCCCUCCUGGCUUGUUUUCCAUCGAAGCACCAGAUCACCGACCACGAAGGAACGGUCCUUGACGUUCCUGUUGUAGUAUCGCCUGACUGCCGCGAGAUAUUUUGCUGUUUGGAGACAUGAAACUAAACGCUUUUCCUCCAUGCAAUUGAUUUCGAGUUCUCUGGCGUUGUCAGCGGUCGCCUGGUCGAAGUGCUCGAUUCUAGGAGAUCCGAAGUGUAUGUCGGACGGCAAAACCGCCUCCGCGCCGUACACCAUGAAAUAGGGAGACACCCCUGUGUUUCGACUGGUCUGAGUUCGGAGGCCCCAGACCACUGCCGGCAAUUCUUUCAUCCAUCGACCGGGUGCUCUGUCGUUCUCGGUGUACAGUCUUUUCUUUAGGGCGUCGACGAUCAUUCCGUUAGCUCGUUCGACUUGACCGUUGGCACGUGGAUGUGCCACUGACACAUAUUUUAUGACUAUGCCUCUGUCAUCGCAGAAAUCCCAAAAAGUGGUGCCAGUAAACUGAGUGCCCAGGUCGGUGAUUAUGCUGUUCGGGACGCCGAAUCUGUGUAUGAUUUGAUUGAGGAACUCCACAGCCUUCUCGGAAGUUGCCUUGACCAGGGGCAUGUAUUCAAUCCACUUGGAGAACUUGUCGAUUAACACGAAAACAAACUUGAAGUUGCCCGGAGCUGGUUUAAAUGGUCCGAUCAUGUCAAGCCCCCAGCAAGCAAAGGGCCAAGACGACGGGAUGGUUUGAAUUUCAUGGGCAGGUACGUGGGUCCUCUUAGCGAAAAACUGACAUCCUUCGCAAUGCCGAACCAGUUUUUCUGCGUCGCUGACCGCGGUUGGCCAAUAAAAACCUGCUCGGAAAGCCUUACCGACCAGCGUUCUAGAUGCGGCGUGAUUGCCGCAGGAUCUGGCGUGUAUGUCCUCCAAGAGCUUGAUACCAUCGUCUUGGGGUAUGCACUUGAGCAGUACCUCGGAGCUUGCGUUUUUCCGCAUGAGUUUUCCGUCGACCAGAAUGUAGUUCUUUGAUCGUCGGAUGAGACGCUCGUUCUCUGUUUUGUCCUGAAAACCUGUCCCGUCUGAGAUGUAUUUGAUGAACGGGAUACGCCAGUCGCGCCCACCGGUUGUCGGAGUGGCGUCAUCUAUGAGCAUUGCCUCGGUGGGUUGCUUGUCGACCAGAGGGGAGCUUACGCUCGGCUCACGGAUGUCCUGGACGAAAAUACCGCGCGGGAUUUGGGCCCGAGACGAGCCUAACUUUGACAACGCAUCUGCUGCUUGGUUCUUAUCCCGGACCACGUGGAUGUACUCUAUGCCAUAGAAGUUAGUUUCCCAUUUGCGAAUUUCUUUGCAGUAGAGAUCCAUCUUCUCGUGGGUUGCGUCCCACUCCUUGUUGAGCUGGUUGAUGACCAAAGCGGAGUCCCCGUAGACAUAGAGGCGCUUAACCCCCAGCUCAACGGCUAGUCGUACGCCAUGUAAGCAAGCUUCGUAUUCGGCGACAUUGUUUGACGCCGGAAAAAGGAUCCGAAGGACGUAGCGGAGUUUGUCCUUGUUUGGUGAUACGAACAAUAUCCCAGCGCCUGCACCGUUGAUGUUCAAGGACCCAUCAAAGAACAUUGACCAGUGGUCUGAGACAUCGGGAACGGACGGUUCGUUGAGAUCCGUCCAUUCGGCAAUGAAAUCGACCAGGGCUUGGGACUUGACAGUGGUGCGACUCUGAAACUCCAGGGAAAAUGGACAUAGUUCCAUUGCCCAUUUCACGAUUCUGCCAUUGGCGUCUUUAUUGCGCAGGAUGUCACCGAGGGGAAAGCUGGUUGUUACCAGGACUCGAUGGCCGUCGAAGUAGUGCUUCAGUUUUCUUGAUGUUAUCAGGAUGGCGUAUAUAAGCUUCUGUAUUUGUGGGUACCUGGCCUUGGAUUCGUUUAAAACUUCGCUUAUGAAGUAAACGGGCCUCUGGACCUUGAAGACGUGACCUAGUUCAUCUCGCUCGACCACUAUUGUCGUGGAAACAACUCUGUCGGUUGCAGCAAUGUAAAGGAGCAGGUCUUCAUUGGGCUGAGGCGCUGUGAGAACAGGCGGUGAAGUGAGGAAGGUCUUAAGCUGAGUGAACGCAGCGUCGGCGUCCUCUGUCCAGGAGAAUUUUUCUGACGCUUUCAAUAGUUUGAAAAAGGGGAGGCCUUUUUCUCCCAGCCUUGAGAUGAAACGACUGAGGGCGGCCAUGCAUCCGGUUAGCUUCUGAAUAUCCUUGACGUUCUUCGGUGGUCGCAUGUCGAGUACGGCUUUGACUUUUGAAGGGUUUGGUCGUAUGCCGUCGCAACUGACGACGUUGCCGAGCAGUAGACCGGAAGGAACGUCGAAGAUGCAUUUCUUGGGGUUGAGCUUCCACUUGUACCUAUUGAGAGCCUUGAAGGUUCGGUCUAAGUUGUCGAUUAGGGUGCUCGCAUCCCUUGUUUUUACGACCACGUCGUCCACAUAGGCCUCGACGAGGUCGUCGCGAAUCUCGUCGUGGAGGCAUUGCUGGAUGGCCCUUUGAUAAGUGGCCCCGGCGUUUUUAAGUCCGAAAGACAUGGUAGUGUAACAGUAUGCGCCGAAAGGUGUGAUGAAGGAUGUUUUGAUCUGAUCUUCUUCUUUUAACGAGAUCUGGUGAUAACCAGAGUAGCAAUCUAGAAAGGAGAGGAGUUCGCAUCCGGCCGUUGAGUCGACCACCUCGUCGAUGCGAGGAAGACCAAAAGGAUCUUUAGGACAGUGUUUGUUGAGAUCGGUGUAAUCAACGCACAUUCUCCAUUCAUUAUUCUUUUUGCGUACAAGAACCGGAUUGGCGAGCCAAUCGGGAUGAUACACCUCUUUUAUGAAUCCGGCUGCUAGAAGCCGUGUUAUUUCUGUCCUAAUAGCCUCCUUUUUGUCACGAGCGAACCGUCGCAGUUUUUGCUUGAUUGGUCUUGCGGUCUUCGAGACGUUUAAGGAGUGCUCGAUCAGGUUUCGUGGGACGCCGGGCAUGUCUGCGGGUUUCCAUGCGAAAACGCUCAAGUUGUCCCUUAGAAACCUGACGAGCGCGUCUUCCUAUUUUGGAUCCAGGUUAGCCCCGAUGAGGGCUGUCUUCUCGGGGUUGCCCUCGACCAGCUGCACUUCUUUGUACUCCUUGGAUUUCGAAUUCUUUCUGGCUGUCUCCUGCUCAGGUAAUCGGAGCUGGUCGGGGGGCAGCUGUGCGGCUUGGUUUGCUGUUUCCGCCAUGCGGAUUGAGAGGUCAAUUGCCUCGGUGAUCUUGAAACUUUCUUCUUCGCAGGUGUAUGCAGUGUAGACGUUGCCUCUGACGGUCAGGACACCUUUCUCCGUGGGCAUCUUAAGCACUAGGUAUGAGUAGUGCGGGACUGCCAUGAACUUUGUCAGAGAUGGGCGGCCCAGUAUGGCGUGGUAGGUCCCGUCGAAGUCCGCGACUACGAAGUUGAUGAACUCCGUCCGGAAGUGAUCGGGUGUGCCGAAUUGGACAGGCAAUGUUAUCUGUCCGAGGGGAACCGAACUUUGACCUGGCAGGACCCCCCAGAAUUGGGCGUCGUAAGGUUUUAGUUGCGCCGGUGAUAUCUUGAGGGCGGGCAGGCUGUUGCGGAAGAGGAUGUCAAUGGAGCUUCCCUCGUCCACGAGCACGCGCUCGAAUCUGAUGCUAUUGAUGCAGGGAUCAAGAAUCAGUGGGAAACGACCCGGCUCUGGGAUAGCGGCCCACUGGUCCUUCCUGCUGAAUGCGAUCUCCCUGUGGGACCAGGCGGGAAAUUUCGGAUCUGCGAUCAGCCCGUCCGUGCUGUCUAUGUUGAGGCAGGCUCUCUUCAACAGCUUUCUUUCUCGCUUGGACUCAGUGGAGACCUUGCCCCCGAAAAUGGAGUGGACCACGUCGGUGGGGCUGACGUAUUGGUGUCGGGGGUCCCUGUCUUGGUCUUCAUCCUCAUCUUCGUGGUCGUGCCCGUCGCGUUUGUUACUUUUCUUGGCGGUGUCUUCUUGAGCGGCCCGCCGUGUAUAAAUAUUUUUGAGGACGCGGCACUCUUCCAUGGUAUGGUUAGACUUUGGGUGUAGCUGGCACGGUCCCUUCAACGUUUUGUUGUAGUCGUCUUGGUAGUCCCGUCGUCCAUUGGGACGUUUGACCGUGUUUACUUCGUGGUCGUAUUCGCGAGGGCGCUUUCCUCUGAAGUCGUCGCGGCUGUCGCGCCGCCGAUCCCAACCCUCUCGGUGAUCGCGGUUGUCGGAGCGACGGUGAUUUCUGUUGUCGUAGCGGCCACGACCGUCAUCUCGCCGGGAGGGCUGGUCGGUGCCUCUCGCAUCGUCUCGGAUUAGUUUUUCUGCGUCAUCAGCGUCGGCAUAGUUUUUAGCCGUGGCGAGGAGCUCUGCUACCGUUGAUGGACGCUUACGCAACAGCUUGUUCCUCAGUGCUUCAUGGAAACGUAAGCCCUUGAUAAAGGCUGAUAUGGCCUCGUCAUGAGAAAUCUUCGGGAUUUUGAGACGCAUAUCCGAGAAUCGUCGGAUGUAAUCGCGCAGAGGUUCAUUCUUCCUGUCUCUUAUCCUUUCAAGGUCAUACUUGUUUCCGGGCUGCUCGCACGUGGCGAUGAAGUUGUCAAUGAAAGCCUGUCGUAGCUCUUCCCAAGAGUCGAAGGAGUCCUCGGGCAAGCCGAGAAGCCACUGAUGACCAGCCUGGUCGAGGACUACGGGGAAGUAGUUAGCCAUGACGUGCUCAUCUCCUGCCGCUGAUCGGAAGGCGAUUUCGUAGAGGGUGAUCCAGUUCUCUGGAUUUUCCUUGCCGUCGUAUUUUUUAAGUUUUUCGAGCUUGAAAUUUCUGGGCCACACGACCUGGCGGAGGUGUGAGGAGAACUGCCUUAGGCCCGGAGGACCGUGGGUCGCAUCGUACUCGAUGCGGCGCAGGUUUUCGUGGACUGCUCUCUCUGCGGCGCGCCUGUUGAUGCGGUCCCGGGCAUCUUUGGGAGGGAUGUUGUGGCGGAGAUCCCUGUGUUGAUCUUCUUCUUCCUGGCCGCGUACGCGGUUCUGCUGGCGGCGGCCAUCGGCGUCUCGACCACCAUCGUCGCGCCGUGAGUCCCCUCGACGGUUGUCGGGGGAGCGGCUGCGGCGACGCCCGCUGGGCGAGGCCCGGCUACGAUGAGUCUGGUCGGAGGCGGCUUCCGUAUAAGAGACGUCCUGGGCUCUCUUGAGCAGAGUUGCUGUCUGUCCCAUCGCGGCGAUCAGGUGUGCUCGGAUACUGGUCCGGACUCCCUGGCAUUCGGGUGUAUCAGGAAGCCGAUCCAGGUUGGCCAUGGCGACAGCCACGUUGGCGCUUGGCGUUUUGUAGACCGGCUGGUCCCCGACCAUGUCAAAGGCAUCGUUGAGGUUACCCGGUGGCGUCUGUUGUUGCUCGUCCGCACGCCGUCGGGCGCGAUCGGCGUUACGCUGUUCGCGGAGUUGCCUCUGGUCGUCUGUUUCUCCGUCAACAACCGGUUCGUCGGCGCUGAUAUUGAAUACAAUAUCCCCUCGCCGGGGGGGGAAUAUCGGGAACCGGUCGAAACCCGGAGGGUGUGAAGGGAAAUCCAGGUCGUAGUCCUCGUCUUCGGUGUUCACAACCUCGGUGGGGACGGAGCCGGUGCUUGAGUUGGUGCUGGACACCUGGCCGUCCCGUAGCUCUCGGAUGGUCACCAUGUUGACGUGGUGACGAUUGUUCCUUGUCGGCGACCAGCCCGCUUUGCUGAAAACGGAUUGGACAUGCUGUGAGUAAACAGAGGCCGAGUUGUUCAGGCCGCAAGGAUAGUCUUCCUUUUUGAGCUCGACGGAUCGUCCUGCGGGGGUUGAGGUUAUCGUCAGGGACGUUCCCAGCCGUUCGUGUGUAGCGACACGAGUUGGCCGGCGGAAUUUCGAAAAAUCCGCUCGAGCGGCUUGGUCGGGCUGGCGUAGAACUCCAUCUAUUAGUUGGGAGACUUCGAGUAGCUUGGAGUCAGCGCGAUCGAGCGCUUGGAGGAGGUCCGAGCAGUCGAUCUCCUUUCCCUUGUAGAGCGGGAACGGUGGUCGGGAGCUUGGUGCCGUCAUGCGUGUGGUCGGAGACGGCGUGAUCUCAGAUUGGAUCUGGAUCUCUUUCGGAACCGUGGUCGCGAAACCGCCGCUGCACGUCGUCCACGUGAUCUGGCCGACGGUGAACGUGAGGCCUUCGGGCACGGUCGCCGAAGCUGGGAUCGUGACCAUCUUGUUCGCCGGAAAAGUUGUACGCACACCCCCUACCUGGCGCGCCACUGUCGACGAAAGCUGGUCGGCAGUCUACCUUGGGGUAUACCCACGGUAGUAGUUUAUCGGUAGACGGUGCGCAAACUACGAACUCGAUGGUGACGCAAGACACGGACAAGCUUUUUAUCCAGGUUCGGCCGCCGAGUUGGCGUAAUACCUACGUCCUGCGUCUGGUUGUAUUGGAUUGUGUUGAGAGAUAAUCUGUCCUAGGGGGGUCCCUUGCCCCUCCUUAUAUAGUCUGGAGGGCAGGGUUACAGAUCUAGAAACUAAUCCUAGCCGGUUACAAUUGCCAUAGAUAAUUCGAUAUCAAUUCCUAUUCUAACCGACUAGAAUCCUGCUUGAUCUCCACGUCUUGUUUCCUUGCGCGAAACUCGGGCUGUCGGAUCAAGCCUUGAACUCGUCUCGUAGUGGGCCAAGCUUCCUGGCUGAAGUCUAGCCGUAAGGGUAUAGGGGUUUAUACCCCCACAGAUGCCCAUUUGAUGUCAUGGGAGUUUUGAUUGGCUUGCAAUCUUGCAUCUUGAAUCUCUUGAGAAGAUCUUAAGUGUACUUUUCUUGAGAGAUGAAAACCCCUUCCUUCAUUUGCUUGACUUGAAACCCGAGGAAGAAGGAUAGCUCGCCAAUCAUGGUCAUCUAGAACUCCUUGGACAUCAAAUCACCGAACUCCUUGCAAAAUUCUUCAUUUGUUGAGCCAAAUAUGAUGUCAUCAACAUACACUUGGCCAAUGAAGAUUUCUCCAUUGAUCUUCUUAAUGAAUAGUGUUAUGUCGACCUUCCCGAUCUUUAAGCCCUUUUGAGGAAGUCACUUAGCCUCUCAUACCAUGCUCUAGGAGCUUGCUUGAGACCAUAGAGCACCUUGGACAACCGGUACACAUGCUUGGGUACCUAGGAUCUUCAAAACUAGGGGGUUGCUCAACAUAGACAAGCUUAUUAAUACAACCAUUUAGAAAUGCACUUUUCACAUCUAUUUGAAAUAGUUUGAUGUUAUGGUUAGAAGCAUAUGCAAGAAAGAUACGUAUAGCUUCAAAUCUUGCAACCGGUGCAAAGGUUUUACCAAAGUCAAAACCUUCCACUUGUGAAAAGCCUUUCACCACAAGUCUUGCCUUGUUGCGCACCACCUUGCCUUGAUCAUUUUUCGUGUUCCAGAAGACCCACUUUGCUCCUAUUACUCUUGCAUCUUUAGGUCGCUCUUUGAGGGUCCAUACUUGAUUACGAGAGAAGUUGUUCAACUCCUCUUGCAUGGUGAUGAUCCAAUCCGCAUCGCGAAGAGUUUCCUCUAUAGUUUUGGGUUCCUCUUCAAGAGACACAAAAGUGUGAUGUUCAAUAAAUAAAGCAUGUUUAGAACGUGUAGUAACACCACAUGAUGGACUCCCGAUGAUGAGAUCUUGAGAGUGAUCUCGAAGAAGGUGUGAUGAUCUUCUUUGCACCACUUGAGGAGCCGGUUAGGGAGCAUCAACAUCUUGUGCUUGUGCCACCGCUUGUUCAUGAGUGACUUGUGAGUCUUCAUGAGCGUCUCUCACAUCCUUGUCAUCAUCUUAUGGCACAUGUGAGGAGGAUGGCUCAUCGAUGACUUGCACCUUGCCAUCCUCCUCCUUAGGCUUGAUGUCUUCCAUCAGAAUAUUCUUCAAGACUUCCCUCAAUGGUUCACCAUCUACAUCACCAAGAUUAUCACUUGCUCCUUGGGAGCCAUUAGAUUCAUCAAAUUCAACAUCAAAAGUUUCUUCAACCAUGUUUCUGGCAUGGUUAAAGACUCUAUAAGCCUUGGACUUUGAUGAAUAGCCAACCAAGUAACCAAUGUCUCAUCUUCUUUGAAACUUCCCCAAGUGUUGGUGCUUCUUGUAGAUAUAGCACUUGCACCCAAACACUCUAAAGAAUGAGACAUCAGGCUUCUUCCCAUUGAGCAAUUCAUAUGGUGUCUUCUCUAGGAACUUGUGAAGAAAGAGUCGGUUUGAAGCAUAGCAUGCGGUGUUGAUUGCCUCGGCUAACAUCUUCUCCGGAGUGUUGUACUCAUCAAGCAUAGCUCUUGCCAAGGUUAUCAAGGUCCAGUUCUUUCUUUCUACAACCCCAUUUUGUUAUGGUGUGUAUGUCGAGGAGAACUAUAUGAUUCCAACUUCAUCACAAUAGUCUUCAAUAUUGGUAUUGUCAAAUUAUUUGCCAUUGUCACUCCUAAUCUUCUUGAUCUUGACAUCGAAUUGAUUUUGUGCCUUAUUUGUAAACUUCUUGAAUAUUGAUGCAACUUCAACCUUGUCUUACAAGAAGAAUGUCCAUGUGUACUGAGAAUAGUCAUCCACUAUUACCAAGCAAUAUUUAUUCUCACUAAGACUAGCAUAUGUAGUAGGUCUAAACAAAUCCAUGUGCAAUAGCUCAAGAAAUCUUAAGGUAGAGAGAUAGAUCUUGGUUGGAUGAGUGUUUGCCACUUGCUUGCUGGCUUGACAUGCACUACACAACUUGUCCUUCUCAAACUUGACAUCUUUCAAGCCUCUUGUCAACUCCUUCUUCAACAACUUUUUGAGUGUGCCCAUUCCAACACGAGCUAGCCUCCUAUGCCAUAGCCAACCAAGUGAAGUCUUGAUGAAUAGACAUGUCUUGAUGUUUGCAUCUUUGGAGGAGAAAUCAACAAUGUACAAAUUGUUGUAGCGGAAGCCUUUGAAUACCAUCUCAUUGUCAUUCACCUUGGUCACUAUCGCUUCUUUCUCAAUGAAUAGGCAUUGGAAACCAAGAUCACAAAAUUGUCCAACCGAAAGCAAGUUAAAACUUAGAGAUGAAACAUAGAGCACAUUGGUGACAGAGUUGUCAUUGGAUAUAGCCAUCUUUCCCAAAUCCUUGACAUUGCCUUUUGAAUUGUCACCAAAUGUGAUAUUCUCUUGAUUGUUCACAUCUUCAUUGAGUGAGGUGAACAUUUGGGGAUCUCCGGUCAUAUGUUGGGUGCAACCACUAUCAAUUACCUAAUGUGAUCCACCGGUCUUGUAGUUCACCUUCUGAUCACCCUUAGCCAUCAGGCAUAGGUGUGUAGAGGAUGAGGAUGAAGGCGAUGGUGGUGGACAUGAAGCAUCAAUUGCAAUUGUGGCCACCUUCUCAUCAUCACUAGCAUCAUUGGAGGAGUCACCACAUGAGCUCUCAAUAUUAGUGAGCCAAUCACUAACAAUGUAUGCCUUGCCAUUCUUCUUCUUGUGGUACUCCUUCUUUCCACCCUUCUUCUUGAAAGGCUUCUUUUCAUUCUUCUCAUUGUCACUUGAGUCAUCUUUGUCCUUGUUUUUUUCUUGUAUUUAUCCUUCUUAGGCUUAGGACAUUGAUGGGCAAGAUGACCAAGUUCACCACAAUUGUAGCAAUCCAUCUCGGAGAUGGGCUUUCUCUUGCUACUUGUGAAGAACUUCUUUUGGAGUCGAAGUUGACACCAUUCUUGUUGAGCUUCUUAAGCAUCUUGGUGGUUCUCCUCACCAUGAGAGCAAUGGUGGCAUCAUCAUCGCUUGAGGUUGAGGAUUCUUCAUUUUUUUGAGCGACCGUUGGGAAUUUAACUUCGCCAUGAAAAAUAGCCCCAACUUUAGAGUUAAAACUUUGGACUCAGAAUUAUAAUUUUUGUAACAAAGUUUACCUGCAAAGAGAAAAAUAGGGCGAAGAUGUAACUUUGACUUCGUCGGGAAAAAUCAACUUUGCUGCAGAAAACUUUGUCUUCACCAAAGAAGGAAAGAUUAAAGCAAGGCUAAGCGAAGACAAGAAUUUGGCUUCGCUUGACAAUUGAAGAUAGAAAGAAGAUGGAGCAAAAAUCGACUAAGUCCAAAAUACAAAGCCCGCCAGAAGAUUGGUUGACAAAAUUGAAGAAUGAAGACUUAGAUAUAGAAAAAGACCACUUCGCCCUUGUAGUUGAGAAGGGUUGUAAUUGUUUGAGUGAGGGGUAAAAUGGUCAUUUUGUGUAAAAUAUGAAGGUCAGGGCCCUAUAAAUACCCCACUGACAUGUACAGUAGACCCGGAGAAUGAAUACAAUUUUUAUUUGUGUUUAACUUUUGAUGUUUGUGUAAUGUUUGCUUGGCAUAAAAGUUACACCAACAGCGACCAAAAUACUUUUUUGAAUUUAACCUUCAUGUUUCGGAGUACGUACGUGGUUGGUCACGAGGCAGGGGGCGGGUCUUCUUGUGGCGUGGUUGGCCACACGGAGUUUUAUUUUUAUUUUUAUUUUAUUUUGAGAAAAUGUGUAGCUCACGGAGUACUAUUUGUAGGUCGGACGCACUUUUUUGUUCAAUUGUGGCCCAUGAAGUGAUUUUUGGGCCGAAUAGCCCAUUCAACCGUGCCCUAACCCUAGGCCGCUUAUAAAAACCUAGCUCCAUCCGAUUCCCAAACCCUAAGACGCAGUCGGCCGCCGCACACCGGGAGAAGCCGACGCUCCGCCACCGUAUCCGCAGAUCAGCGGCGAGCCGUAACCACGCCACACUGCUUGCCGCCCGACGAGGUAUUCUGCCGCUCGCGCGCGCUUCUCUUCCUUCUCUUUUCGUUGUGCUUUGAGCUUGUUCGUUUGAUGCGCUCCGAGCUUGUUCGUUUGAUGCCCAGAUCUACUAGUUUGUCGUCUAUGUGUGAUGAGCUGAGCCGAUUCAUGCACUGGAUUUCUAAUCAAGUGUUGUUUCCGUCUCCGCUACCUUUAUUUAGUGUCUAUGUAUGAACAUGGGUGCAGUUUGCAAUUGAUUUGUCGAGCCAUAAAUUAUAACCGUUUCGUUGUUCUAGAUUAGAUCCCGAUUCUGAUCUUUGAUAUUACGUGGCUGAGGCACUUCAACUCUGUUUUAUGUGUAUGAACUGAGCCGAUUCAUGCGCUGAGUAAUAAUCAAAGUUUUGCUUCCGCCUCCUCAUCUGCCUUUAGUAUGUACUCCGUAUAUAAACUUGAUUGCAGUUUGCAACUGAUUCUCAGCCAUAGAUUAUCACUGUUGCGUUGUUCAUUAGAUCCAGUUUCUGUGGUAUUAUGUGGGUGGGGUAGUUCCUCUUUGGAUUUUUCCUAUCCUUGAAAUUGUUUGAUUACUGGUUUAUUCCCAUGUUUGUUUAUUUCUAACUAUUUUUAGAUGAUGAUUUCUAACUGUUUUUAUCUGCUAAUUUUGAUGUAAGCAGCAGGGUAACAGUUCCCUUCAGCCAUGGGUAAGGAGAAGACUCACAUCAACAUUGUGGUCAUUGGCCAUGUCGACUCUGGCAAGUCGACCACCACUGGCCACCUGAUCUACAAGCUUGGCGGUAUUGACAAGCGUGUGAUCGAGAGGUUCGAGAAGGAGGCUGCGGAAAUGAACAAGCGUUCAUUCAAGUACGCCUGGGUGCUCGACAAGCUUAAGGCUGAGCGUGAGAGAGGUAUCACAAUUGAUAUUGCGCUGUGGAAGUUCGAGACCACCAAGUACUACUGCACUGUCAUUGAUGCCCCUGGACACCGUGACUUCAUCAAGAAUAUGAUCACUGGUACUUCCCAGGCUGACUGUGCUGUUCUUAUCAUUGACUCCACCACUGGUGGUUUUGAGGCUGGUAUCUCCAAGGAUGGCCAGACCCGUGAGCAUGCUCUCCUUGCUUUCACACUUGGAGUCAAGCAGAUGAUUUGCUGCUGCAACAAGGUAUAAUUCCAGGAAUUUCUAUCUAGUCUGGUUUAUGAUCUGAGAUGCCUGUAAAUAUGUGCUUCAAUAGUCUAGGCUGCACUCAAUUAUACUGCAUUCAAGUUGAAUACUGCAUUUGUGUUCUGAUAUUAUAGUUAAUGUUAGUUGUAUAAUAAGUUUACAUUGAAUAAGCCAUCUGCUUGCUACAUGUUUAUGUACGAUUGCAUUUUUUUUCUAAUGUUGGUUGCAUAACAAUUUUGAUAAAAUGAAACAUUGAUUGUUGCAUCGAAUAAGUCAUCUGCUUCUUACAUAUUUUUAUUAUUUUUUCUGGAUUUUUAGUUACUUAGUUUGCUACUUUACUUUGUCAAUUAUUAAUGCAACACUGAUUGCUUUGAUUGAAUAAGCCAUCUGCUUUAUAGAUGUUUAUGUAUGAUGGCAAUUUAUCUUCGUUACUUUGCAUAAUUUAAUAUGAUUUUCCAGGAUAACUUCUUCAAUAGGUGAUGUAAUUUUUCAAUUCCACCUUAAUUUAGAAAUUUUCUGUAGUUGUUGGAAUGCUUGCAAUGCUUAUGUAAUUAAAUGAUAUGGGUUUGCAUAACUGCCAUCAUAUGAUUGCAGUCGUUAUUUUACUUUUGUCAAUUAGUAGGAUUUGUUGGCAUGCACCUGUUGAGGUCAGUAUUUUUUAUAUACGUCAGGUGCCCCCCCAACAAAUAUCCUUCCUUGAGCAAGUGUAGUUGACCAGUAAAUGUUUUUGUAUUUUUACUGUUUGCUUGCUGUUUAGGUAAUCAAUCAGCUGAUGAUAUUGUUUGGGUUUUGCUGUGUUACAGAUGGACGCCACCACACCCAAGUACUCGAAGGCCCGUUAUGAUGAGAUUGUGAAGGAAGUCUCUUCCUACCUGAAGAAGGUUGGAUACAACCCAGACAAAAUCCACUUUGUUCCCAUCUCUGGUUUUGAAGGUGACAACAUGAUUGAGAGGUCCACCAACCUUGACUGGUACAAGGGCCCAACCCUGCUUGAGGCUCUGGACUUGAUCAAUGAGCCAAAGAGGCCUUCAGACAAGCCACUGCGUCUCCCCCUUCAGGACGUGUACAAGAUUGGUGGUAUUGGAACUGUUCCUGUCGGGCGUGUUGAGACUGGUAUCAUCAAACCUGGUAUGGUUGUUACCUUUGGUCCUAGUGGCCUUACAACUGAGGUUAAGUCUGUCGAGAUGCACCACGAGGCUCUCCAGGAGGCCCUUCCUGGUGACAAUGUUGGCUUCAAUGUUAAGAAUGUUGCUGUGAAGGAUCUGAAGCGUGGGUAUGUGGCCUCCAACUCCAAGGAUGACCCUGCCAAGGAGGCUGCUAGCUUCACCUCCCAGGUCAUCAUCAUGAACCACCCUGGGCAGAUUGGCAAUGGCUACGCCCCAGUGCUGGACUGCCACACCUCACACAUUGCUGUCAAGUUUGCUGAGCUUGUUACCAAGAUUGAUAGGCGAUCUGGCAAGGAGCUUGAGAAGGAGCCCAAAUUCCUCAAGAACGGUGAUGCUGGUAUGGUGAAGAUGGUUCCCACUAAGCCCAUGGUGGUGGAGACCUUCUCUGAGUAUCCUCCUCUUGGUCGCUUUGCUGUCCGGGACAUGAGGCAAACGGUGGCUGUUGGAGUCAUCAAGAGCGUGGAGAAGAAGGACCCAACUGGAGCCAAGGUGACCAAGGCUGCCGCCAAGAAGAAAUGAGGUGUCUGGCUGAUCCUGUGUUUUCUUGAGGGAUACCUAGUUGGAACUUUAAAUAUUGUCAUUCCUGUUAUUGCGCGAGCAACUAAACUGUGCUGGCAAUGUUUGUCUGGUCGAUUUAGUACUGUUAUUUUUGUUAAAACCAGGGUGCUUGACACCAAUUUU
rnacentral:lncRNA from 1 species